rnacentral:lncRNA from 1 species
AAAUAGAUGCAGGUAAUUAAUCAACAUAAAAGAAUGGUGUAAAACGUGACAUCUCCUCAAUAUACUUAGCCAGUUCCACCAAGAACAGCCUUAAGCUUCUUCACUGUAGCAUCAUCAAGGAAGGUAGUCGCCUCCACCAACGAAGAAGGCAAAUCAUUUGCAAACAAAGCAAAAUCAAGAAUCUGUAAGCCAGGUGUCGCGCUACUGAAGCUCGCAAAUGCAACAGCUGUCACCCCACCAGCAUUAACUUGAAAAUGCAACAGCCCUUGUGGGAACACCAUAAGAUCACCCUUCUGUAAAGUCUUGACAUAAACAGUGUUAGCCGAUGAGAUAAACCCAGCCUUGAUGAACCCUUGGGUCACCAGUAAAAGCUCGGACCCACCUGGGUGGGUGUGCAUUGGGACCACACCACCCGGGGCUAAGUCCAACCGGGCAAUGGAGAUCCCGAGCCCGUUGACUCCGGGCAGCUGGGCAGCGAAUGCUGGAGUGACAGCGGCUUUGAUGAUGUUGGAAAGGUUUCCUGAAGCACGAAGGCCUGUGGAUACAAAGUCAUCAACUGUGACUACUGUGGCUGGUUUGCAGGCAUAUCCAGCGGGGCUUUCUGGGAAUUUUACGUCUGCGACACAGAAGUCUUGGACUGCUGCGUGAGUGGUGAAGGUGAAGAGAGAAAGGAGUAAGAGAAUGUGGAUCAUUUUUACUUUGGAUUUGUGAUGUGGGAUUUGAAUGAAGGAUUGAUGAGUGUUGUGGGAUGUUUAGGUGGUGUUUAUAUACAGGGUGGAUGUGGUUUUGGUGUAAUAUGAAGAGAUAGCCAUGCAAAGGAACUGCAACCAUAGGAUUUGAUCUUCUGAAAAAAGUGGAAAAGAAAGCUGGAGUGGUAGUGACAUCCAUGUUACUAGCUAUAGACGUCGAUACAACAGAUAAGACCUUUUAGGUGAAGAAAGUUAUUACAAAAAGCGAAAAUUGGCUCUGAAUUUCCAAUCAUUGGUAAUUCCUUUUUUUAUAAUCUUUCUAUACUUGUUAAUUUUUUUGGCAUAUUAUUUUCCACUAAUUUUAUUUCACAAAAACAUAUUUUCACAAACUUUUUCAAUGAUAACCGUUUCAAAAAACAAUUCAAAAUUAAUUCCUAUGUUAUAUAAAGACCCUCGUAUAUAUAGUUUGUUGUUUUUAAGUAUGUGUUGCAUUUUCGGAAAAUAACAUUUGACAUUAAGACGGGAGAGAGUGGCUCGCUAAAGGCGCCAAGUCUACUCCGUAAGAUAUGCUAAGAAACUUCCCGGAUAAGGCUCCUUGUUAGCAAGAGAAAAAAGAAAGAGGCAAAGAGAAUAAUGGCUUGUAAUUGAUAUUUUUUCUUUUGUUAUUUUAAAUUAGUUCUUUUGAUUGGUUCUUUUCAUUUGACUUUUUUUUUUUUUCUAAAAUCCAAGUGUAAUAUUUUUUUUAUGAUAAAAGCUUAGAUGGAAGGUAAAUAUGUGAUGUGACAAUGUACUUAGCAUGUGGCAAGUAUGUUACCAUUCCAUAUAGUUUAAUCUUCAAUAUCUUCUCUAGUAAAUAGAAAUAAUUUUGUCGAUUGUCAUCUUCUAAUGCAUUAUGUCACAUGAUUUUUUCUUAUUAUUUUUAUUUUUUUUUCAUAUGUCAUUUUAUGUUUUUUUUUUCAUUUUAUUAAAUGAGAAAUUGUCAGAAAAUACUCAAUAUUUUCGAAAAAAUUUCACUUUAGUCCCAAAUUUUAAUUUUUGAAUAGAAAAGUCUCGAUUAUUUGAUUUUGGCUCAAAUUAACAAAAAAUAUUUUUUUUUCUUUUAACAUUAAAUGACAUAUUAUCGUGUAAAAUCAAAUAAUCGAGACUUUUCUGUUCAAAAAGUAAAAUUUGGGUAUUGAGACUUUUCUGAUAAUUUCCCUUAUUAAAUUCCUCAUAAUAUUAAAUGUAAUAAUAAAUGAUAUAUCAAUUUCAUUAAUGGACUUUUCUUUUAAUUUCAAAAUUACAAAAUUAAAGUCUCAUUAGUUUUCUUUGUUUAUUUAUCUAAAUUCAAACUUUUGAAAUGUUUAGAAUUUCAUAUUUAGAUUUUCUUUUAAAUAAAUUCAUAUAAUACAUAGGUCUCACACCAAAUAAUAUUUGAAAGUUUUGUCAAUUACCUUUUAAUAUAAAUUUCAAUAAUAUUUAUUUAGUUAAAUAAAUUAACUAUAAAAAAAUAUAAAGUUUUAAUAUCGAAUACAGCUAUGGGUGUAAAAUGAAAUGUUAUUAAAUAUAAGGAGAGUUUUGUCAUUUAAAAAUCUCUGAUAAAAAAGCUAUCAAUUUCUUUUCUAAUUAUUAUUAUUAUUAUUUUAUUUAUUUAUUUAUUUAUUUUGGCAAAGAAGAUGAUGUGUAGUGAUCAUGAUCACAUUCAUGUCUAUUUAAAUUGUUUUUUAGGGACCAUGAUCAAAGUGCUUUUUAGCCAACUAGUUAAUGAUAUCCAUGCGAUUCACUCUGUGCGCAUGUCUUAGAGAUAUUUUAGGUGCAUUUCUUUGCUUAACCCUUGAACACGAAGGACGUAAGACUAUGUAACAAUCCUUGAUUAUUUUAUGCAUAUGAAUAUAUACACAUAGUUUGGAGUUUAAUUUCUUCUGAUUGUAUUGGCAAAACUGUAAUUAACUAGUUUUUUUAAAAGACUUUAUAAUGCCAUAGGUUUAAAAAAAAAUUUAUUGUUGGUUCAAGUGGAAAUUUGGUGAUUUAGGUAAUUCGGUUAUCAAAUUAAUAGUUAAAAGGGCUACGAUUGGAAGUGGUAUUUUUUGCGACCAAAGGGGAUAAUGAACGGAUGGCCACAAUCUUCUUCCAUAUUUAUAAGUCUUUGGCCAAAAGUCUCUUGCUAAAGCUAAAAGUUGCAAAAUGAGUGUCUUGAAGGUUAGGUAAUGCGUUAAAUGGUCUUCGGCGAAAAAUAAAUGAUUUUAAUACGAAAUGAGAGUCUAUCAAUUUUGUAAAUAAAAUAAAAGGAUAUUACUUAAUGGAGUAAUAUAUAUUUUUAUUUUGUUCUUAUUUGGUAACAUAAAUUUUUUUAUGCAUUUGAACAUUUAACUUAUUUCUUUUUACGUAUCUAAUUUUUAUAAUCGGGUACUCGGGGCUAAACCAGAAAAAUGACGUAAUAUGAUAAUAUAAUUUUCAGUUUGUAUAAAUUUAUUCUUUAAUAUUUUUGUACAUGUUUAGUCCUUAAGAUCGGUUUCUUCGGUUUUGUUCAUGACAUCCUACGUGGGACAAUCAUUAAUGAUGUGUUUUCAUAUGUGGCCCGUCCCUCACUUAUAUCAGUAACUGUUAAAACGUUGUCGUGUACAUCUUAAACAAAUAAAAAUCACUGUUUGGUUGUACUAAUGGGUAGCUCAGGGAAGCUUGGUCGAAUCCUUAAAGACACAACCUAAAAGCCAAUAUCUCUUUACGUACGACACAAUUAGUCAAAAACAUAAAAAUAUAAAAAGAGUUUUUUGCUGUGAAUUAAUAACUGAAAAUAGCAGUGAAAAUAACUUAAUAAAAUUCAAUAAUAAAAAGUGUUUUAGUUUUUUGUGAUUUUCCUAAUUAUGUAAUCAAUACAAAACUUGGUUAUUUAAUAUAUGUUCUAUCUAGAGUGGUACUGAAAACUACUAACAAGCUCUAGUUAGUUCUCUUUUACCUAGUUAAUUAACUAAAACAAGCUAUUCAAUUAAUCCUAACUUUUUACUAACCUAAUUAAACACACUUUUAAUAAUGUUAGGAAAGCAACAUUAUGAUAUGUGUAAAAUUCUCAGCAAUAUUUAAUACUUCUAACAAACUAUGGUGAUCAUUCAAAGGGAUAGGAUGAUCAUUCUCUGGUUCUUCUCCAAACCAUCCAGCAAUGACUUCGUUCGGAAGAUACGGAUUGCCGUGAGGAUGGAGUCCAGCCAUGUUAUCUACGCGAGAAUUGGGGUAAGAAAAUAAUUAUUAGACGAACUAUCUAGAUAAUUAUUUAGAAAAUCUUCAUUAGUUACAUCACUAUUUGUGAAGUGCAUACCAGUUAUAUGUAAUCGAAACAUGAUAGACCUUCGAAUAAGUGACCUUAACUCCAAAUUCACAAAGAAUAGGGGUAAAACAAAAUUUUCACAUAUUUUAAGUCUAUAACAUCCUAGUUACAUAUAGUCUUAGUGUUUCCACUUAGCAACUAUCAACUUAGUAAUGAAGAUCCCGUUUAGUUCUCAAGUAUGAAGUACUUAUAGUAACACCAAAUACCCCUAUAAUAUUUUUGGUUUAUGUUCUAUUGUUCUCAUUGUGGUAUUGUUGGUAAGAUUUUAGACUUGUUGCAACCACACAACUACACUUAGGCACAUGCUAUUCAGCCCUCGGAUAAUAUAGUUGAUCAGGCUAUAUCUUCCCAGUUUUGACUAUAUGUCUCUAAGUCUACUUGUGCUGCCCAACAAUCGUAAUUCUUUUGUAUUGUCCUAGUGACACUAAUUUUAGAAUGAAUGCAGGCACGUAUACUUAAUUAAAUAUUUUACUAUUUAAAGUAUAAACUCUUGGUCAGAGUAUUUUAAUCCCAUUGUAUUUAUAGUCUGUAUAUCUUUUAUGGGUUGAUAUACUUAAUUCACUAUAAACAAUGCUCUGAUACCAAUCUGUCACACCCCAAAACCAUGAACGGCGGAAACGUUCUGGGGCGGAGGACGUCAUGUACAGUAUCACAACAAUGAAUAGUAGUAAACAAGCAACAACAUCAUCCAUUGCAUUAAUAAUAUAAUUUUAAUACAAGUGUUCUGAUAUGUCUAAUAGACACUAAAGUAUAAAUCAAAAUGAAAGAUGAGUCUUGAACGAGCUCCAUCUUCUCUAAACCUUGCAUCGGUACCUGUCUACUGUUGACCUGAGGAUACAAGUUAUUUUGAAAGAGAGUAUCAGCUUUAAAGCUGGUGAGAUCAUAAGUAUUUUAGUGUCUUAAUUUGUAUGUAAGUAUUUGUACGUAUAUGAAAUGUAAGUAUUUGUAUGUAUAUGAACUGUAAGUAUUUGUAUGUAUAUGAACUGUAAGUAUUUGUAUGUAUAUGAACUGUAAGUAUUUGUAUGUAUAUGAACUGUAAGUAUUUGUAUGUAUAUGAACUGUAAGUAUUUGUAUGUAUAUGAACUGUAAGUAUUUGUAUGUAUAUGAACUGUAAGUAUUUGUAUGUAUAUGAACUGUAAGUAUUUGUAUGUAUAUGAACUGUAAGUAUUUGUAUGUAUAUGAACUGUAAGUAUUUGUAUGUAUAUGAACUGUAAGUAUUUGUAUGUAUAUGAACUGUAAGUAUUUGUAUGUAUAUGAACUGUAAGUAUUUGUAUGUAUAUGAACUGUAAGUAUUUGUAUGUAUAUGAACUGUAAGUAUUUGUAUGUAUAUGAACUGUAAGUAUUUGUAUGUAUAUGAACUGUAAGUAUUUGUAUGUAUAUGAACUGUAAGUAUUUGUAUGUAUAUGAACUGUAAGUAUUUGUAUGUAUAUGAACUGUAAGUAUUUGUAUGUAUAUGAACUGUAAGUAUUUGUAUGUAUAUGAACUGUAAGUAUUUGUAUGUAUAUGAACUGUAAGUAUUUGUAUGUAUAUGAACUGUAAGUAUGAAAACGUUUUGAACAUCCUAGAAAACCAUAUGUUUCCUACUAAAAGUAUCCUUCUACCAAGGCAUCUAGUAUCUGUGUGUGUGUCUCUUGUAAGAGUGUGUAUUUUCCCAAUUCUGACUAUCAUUAACCAAAAAUAUAGCUUCUACAUUGGCGUGCAUCGUGUGAAUGUUCACGAAGUGAAUGUAAUGGGAAAACGAAAUAGUACUAUGGUGUAGUAUCAAAUAACUACAAUCGUACUAACUACCUUAAAUCUAUUGUAAUUUAAAUUAACAUGUGAUUGGCCUGUAUCCUGCUACCGACUCUAGUAAAACGACGAUGUAAGACGCCGUAAGAAAUGACAUUUGGCACUCGUAGACUUGCAAGUCCCACUGUAGCGAGCAGCAAGGUGUAGGAUAGUCAAUCCAGUAUAGAUCUAUACGCAAACUCAUACGCUCCCCAAUUGAGGAGAUUCGGGAUACAAGAGUGGUCAUGGCAGGAAGUGCCAUGACCCGCUCAAUGGUUCACAUAACUGCAUGAAUUUAUAUGCAAUGAAUGUCCUAGCUGAAAGUGUAAUCUUUCCCUGUCUAGCCUGUAUGUACUGAAAUGUUCUCUCUAUCUAGCUGUAAUGUGUGUUCUCUCUAUCUAGCAUGUAUAGUAAUGUACGGUGUGUGCUAGCUGUAAUGUGUGUUCUCUCUAUCUAGCAUGUAUAGUAAUGUACGGUGUGUACUAGCUGUAAUGUGUGUUCUCACUAUCUAGCAUGUAUAGUAAUGUAUUGUAAUGUUCUGCGUGUGCUAGCUGUAAUGUGUGUUCUCUCUAUCUAGCAUGUAUAGUAAUGUACCGUAUAUACUACUCGUACUGACUCAUGAAUGAGCUGACUCAUUGUAUGUUUUAUUGUUCUAGUAAUAGUAUUAGUAUCUUCCUAUGCUACCCAUAUGGUAGCUUACUAGUAAUGUAAGUGGUACGUAUGAACAUGGAAGUAUACCCUUGCUACCCAAGGGCAUUGAACUGACUGGAAGAACCUUUAUGACUAUAUAUGUAUACAUAAUAUAUAACUAAUAUUUAGACGACCUUCGUACGGAUAAUCGAUGCCCUAACGCCACAUCCCAACGAGGAAAAGGAGGUAAAGCGAGCUAACCUUCCUAAGUCCUUUAAACAUUACUUAUGUAACUAUACAUAUCUAGGCAUGCAAUUGACAAUAUAAAAGCAUAAAAGAAAUUUUGUAAAACCAUUGAAAAGUUUAGUAUCUAAGAAAGGAUGACUUGAUGUCAAAUUGUAAAACGAUUUGAAAGCAGUUUGUUUGAUAAGAACAAUGUAAAGUAUAAGGAAAACAUUUGUUUUGAAUCAUGAAUGUAACAGGGUUUGAAAAGAUACACUCAGUAUGCAAGACAGUUUAACAAAUAGUUUUAAUUGAGUAAAAAUGUUUUGGAAAGCCAUUUGAAGUAAAUUGUUUGGUAAAACAGCUAUAAGAGUAGUAAAUCCUUUUGUAUGCUACUUAUUAAUCACUUGUGAUUAAUAUAAUAACUAGCAUGAUUCAACUUGUAUCCCCCGCCCAUAAAGCAUUUUAAAACAUUUAAAUCAUUGAUUAAGGGGUAUGAACUCACCUGUAGCAAGUGGUUGGGAUGAACUGACUGAAAUAGGAUGAUAGGUGUCAAGUGAAGACUUGUACACCCUCUAUGAUCCUAGAUAACAUAUAAUAUCACAUAUAUGUAACCAAUUAGCCUUUAAACAACUAAUAAACAAAGCUAAGACACCCUAGGACAUGCUAAACACUUUAUAUAAAUGUUAUAGGUCCUAAGGAUUGCAUCUAAGUGUUGUAGGGAAAGGCUAGUGUGUUUGGGGUUCAAGGAAAACUCCAUUUGGGAGUUUACGGUUUUGUGGUCACUAACAAAAGGGUUUACGGUCGUAAGCCCACACACUUGUUGACCAUUUGAUGUUUGAAGCCUUAAGAGUCCCUAGAAGCUUUUCUACUUGAUGUAUGUGACCAUGGAAGUUACUAGGGCACCAUUUCACUCCUAAAUGGAGUUUACGGUCCCUAAACCAUUUUCCUUUGGGUUUAAUACCGUAAACCCAUAAGGUUUAUGGUAUUUGGGGGUUUUCAAGUCCUUAGCUCAUCAAGGUAAUUGUCUAGGUUAGAUUCUAGGCAUAAGGAAUAAAUAUGGGACAUUUAUACACUCUUUGGGGUGUUUACAGUUUUGGGAGAUCCCCAAAUCAUAAACACAUAUAAAUGAGUGCUUUUUGUGCUUUUUUUGUGAUAAACUCAUCAAGGAAGGAUCUAGACAAGUCCCUAAGGCAUUGUGAAGCACCUAGGCACCCUUUUGCACCAUAACUUGGUGUUUACGGUUCAAGAACUUCUUGAACCGUGAACACCUUGUUCUUGGUGUUCUAGGGACAUUUCCUUGAUAUUAAAAUGUAUAGCAAGCUUUAAAAGACUCUAGGAUAGAAGUACUUACUAUGUGGAAGCUUGAAAGGAGCUAAAAGUCCAAGAACACUAGUGUGUGUUCUUGGUGUUCUUGGUGAAAAUGAAAAAUCAAUCUUUUGGAAUGAUUUCACGAUUAGAAAUGUGUUAAAACACUAGAUUAAGUCAUUUAAUAACUUAAGAAGGCUAGAAACACUUACUAGAUUGAAGACCUUGAAAACUUUUGGAUGAUACUUGAGAGAGAAAAGGGUUUGGAUCUUGAGAUUUUUGGAAAAAGUGUAAAUAAUGACUAACACUCAUAUAUAUACUCCCAAAUUUAGGGUUUUGGCAGAAAAUAUUUUAUUCGGGCAGUAAACUCUAAUUUCUUAGAGUUUUGGAAUAACAGUGUUGCACAAUAAUCCUAGGGCAUCCUCUCUCCAGAUAUCACCUGAAGUGUAAAUCCUAAAAUACUCAAACUUGUUCCGAAAAGUUUGAAAUUUAGCAGCAACUUUUCUGGUUUCUAUUGCAUUGAAGGGUUGCAAAGAAUAGAAAUUUCGGGUUGUCACACAUAAACACCACCAUGCAUCAAUAUAUUACAACUGGAAUUGUUCACAUCAAGUACAUUGUUUAAACAUUACAUAUCCAUACAUAAAUUGUUUGAUAGAUAUCAUAAGCAAAACACCCUAACAUACUUGGUACUUAUUCCUUGACUUACCUGUUACCUGAGAAUACAAGUUAUUUUGAAAAAAGGUCAACAUAUGAAAUGUUGGUGAGUUCAUAAGUAUGUUGUAUUAAAAUGAUUUGCAUAAUUUGUAAAACCCAGCAAAUCCGAUAUUUUCUGAAAAGACCAUUGUUUAAAAAAAAGGUGUGAAGAUCCAUACCAUAUGCAUGAUGAUUUCAAAACAUGUACAAUUGAAGAACUUUAGUAUUUAUCGUACAAGUGAAAAUGUUGAACUUCCUCGGGAAACCCAAUGUUUUCCAAAUACAUAAAAUACAGUGAUUUCUCAAAUUGUUAUACCGCCACAAUGAAUGAGUUUGAUUACUCGGGUGGUGUUGGAUUAAUUAAGGUUUGUGAGUUGUUAUAAUAAUGCAUUAGUAAUGACUAGUUUAUAACUACAGUUUACGAACGAUCCUUAGAGGCGUCGUCCGUUAUAACUCACUUAAUCCAACCACCUUGAUUACUCUCGAUUAUCGCCCUGAAUCUGUUUACGUUGAUUACUCAUAAGCCUAGCAAACGAGGAAAAGAGGAGUAUAAGUCCUGCUACUUCCGUGAGUUUACUUUAGGCCGUCGGGGAUGCGAAAGACUCGUUGGUCCAUCUCGCAUUUGAUUACUUUGACCUUACUGGCAAUACUAUUGGAUCACUAGGGCCCAAAAGCACUUGAGAGCCAUUGAAGGUCCCUUUAUAUGGAAUUGGGCCAUAGAAGGCCCAAUAACAUAUAAACAUUAUCCCUUGGGCCCAAAGAUCAUGUUAAUGGACUUGCAAGGUCCAACAAGCAUGAUUUGAAACUUUCAAGCCCAAGUGUCGAAUGUUUACUUGUCUUAGGUAUCGCUUAUCUAUUGGAGGGUUCGAUUUAACGGUUGUUGUUUUUGUAUCGAUUCAAGACCAAUCGAUUUGUUUAUAACGAUAUUUGGAGUUAAACGUGUAUUCGUCUUUUAAUUUUUCAUAAGUAAUGGUUUUGUAUUUGACUUAAUGAAAUAAUUUGCUUAAAACAGUGGUUUGACCUUUUCAACACCUUCCUUUUUAUAAAAAUGACAGUUUUAGUCCUUUAUAUAAAAGAAAAGACAUUUUUAGCCCUUAAAAUAUUUUCUUGACACUUUUGCAUCAUAGAUUUGUUGAAAUGAUAGUUUUAACUCAAAACUUAUUUUUUUUAACAGUUUCACCCCUUUCAGAAUAGUAUUUUUCGAUUUAAUACCCAACUUUCCACAAUUUUUACAGUUUUGGCCCAAAAUCCAAAAACUUUACAUUUUUUUUUAUCCUUUUUGGAAAUGAAAAGCAUUUUUGACCCUUGAAAUAGUUUUGUUACACUUUUUAUCCCUUGAUUUGAAGAAAGUUUCAUUUCAGCCCCUUUAAUUGUCAUUUUUCGCAAUUUUGGGCUUAUUGGGCCGAAAAGCCCAAAAUUAGCCCAUUAAGCUAAAAAUUUACAUUUCAAGUCCUUUGAAAAUUUUAAUAUUCAGAAAAACAAUUAUUAAAACUGUUUUGACUCUUUUGACCCUUAAGAAACCGUGAUUUGGCAACUUUUAACCCAAAUUUUUGUAUAUUUGACAAUUUAAGCCCAAAAAUGGGUUUUAUGUUGAAGUAUGUUUAACACAAUCUUAUAAGUUAUUAUUCUUGACUUUUUUGGUGUAAAAUAACUUAGAUCAUGUUUGUUUACUUUCUCAUGUCAUAGAUCUCGAGUUAACACCCCUUUUUAGUUACAUGUUCAUCACAAAAACACAUAAAAUCAUACAUACAUGCAUAAAAUCACACAUAGCAUACACAUACACAUAGAUCUACACAUUUUCUUGUAUUCUCCCCCAUAAAACAUAUGAAAAUCGAAAAGAUAGGGGUAUGAAGCUCACCUUAAGUUGUGGUUUCGGUUUUUGAAGGAAGAGAUGAAGAAAGUUUCGAUCCUAGCAAGUCUUCUUGGAGGAUCUCGAACUUAGAUGUUUAUAAGAGGGUGAUCAUGAGUUUGAAUAGAUUAGGAAGAGAUUUUUGAUAAGCAAAAGAAUCAAGAUCAUAUAUCCAAGAAAUAACUUACCUUAGAUGAUGAAUUUGUGGAAUAAUCUCCUUGGAAAGCUUCCUAAAUCUCGAAAAUUUGGUGAAGAGUGAACAGAGUUUCUUUGAGAGUGUUUGAGUAAAACGUGUGUGUGUGUGUUUGUGUUGGUUUCGGCCAAGAGAAAAAGAGAGAGGAGGGAAGAGAUACUUUUGAGUUGACAUGCAUGAAAACAUGAGAUUUUUGCAUGGGGUUCCAAUGGUUAAAUGUGAGGUGGCAACUUAAAGUCAACUCCUUCUCUUUUGGGUUGUUGGGCCGAGAAAAAAAGAGGGGAAAGAAGGAUUUGGGCCCUUAAAUGCUCAAGCCCAAAUUGUAAACUCAUUAGGUGAUUUUUGGUCCAAUUAAAUCAAAGGAUGAUUUUUAUGAUCCAUUAGGGCUAAUUAGAUUUGUUAUGGCCCAAUAAGGCCCAUUUAAGAUAAACUAGUUCAUUUUAGGCUUGUAAGGCCCAAAAUAUUAAGUUUCAUGUAUAGGGGUCCAAUUAGAGCCCAUUUAAGAGUUCUAAAACCCAAAAAAAUCAAAUUGGAAACUUAUUGGUCAAUUAGGCCCAAUAAGGAAAUCCUAGUCCAAAAUGGACUUAAAUCGGGAUUCUUAGGGUUUCCAACGUUUUGUUGACUAUUUUAUGCGCUCUUAUAAAGUGUCUGAUGGAAGUUUUGUUGUUAUUAAAUAAGCAUCAUACAUGCUUUCACAUUGUUGGUUCACAUUUGUUAUCAUUGUUCAAUGUUUACAAGGCACCAAAUUCCUAGCUGUGACAACUUAGGAAGCAUGACCCGUGUUUGGAGAUGGGUGGAAUCCAUGUGUAGUUAAAUGAAGUACAUUACCCAAAAGGACGUUUUUUAGAGUCACAGGCAUGAAGCACGGAGUGUGCUCGGGCUUCCAGGUCGUGCUCUUCAGGCGCAAAGUAAUAAUCCUAGAAAUCUUGUAAAAUCAGAAAUAAAAUGUCACCGGGGAGUAAGCAGGGCUCGUGCUUGGGCUAUGAAACUUUAAAUAUCAAAAAUAAUGCACUGGUUGGGAUCAGGAAGCAGGCACGGACCGUGCUUGGGAAGCAUGACCCGUGAUUCAGGACCAAAGUUUUAAAAGGCCUAAAAAUCAGAAAUCUUUUGGUUAUGUUCUGUAAGUGGAGAACAGCCCAUGUUUGGUAAGGCAUGGCCCGAUCUUGGUAUUUUUUUUAGAGUUUUGAAUCCAUAUAUGCUCGAAAUAUGCAUCCAAGUUGCUUCCAAAUCACUGUUCCACUCGAAAUAUCUAAAAAUGACAUAAAAAUAUGAGCGGUACGAGAAUUUUCUAGCGAAAAACAUGAGUUGAAAUUUAUUUAAACUAACAAACAUGAAAAAGCAUAAAAUAUGAUGCAAAACACUAAUAAAAACUAAUAUAAAAGAUGCAUAAAAUGGCAUCUAACAAUAACUUAAUUCACAAAUUGGUCAAAUAAUGUUGGUGCCCUAGUUUUCUCCAAGUAGAAGAUGUUUUCAGCUUCAGGUGCAUCUAUCUCUAUAUCAUACAACAAGGUUCUUUGUUAUUGUUUCUUCCCAACUCGAAGAUAUUUUCUCCAAGUAGAAGAUGUUUUUAGCUUCGGUUGCAUGAAAGACUCUAAACUUUUUUCCAGGUUGUUCUUUUGUCAUGGAAGUGCAAAAUCGAGUUGGGAUGAAGUAAACACAAAGAAUCUUGUUGUCUACAAUGGAGAUAGAUGAAACCAAAUUUGAAUACAUAUUCUGUUUGGAGAAAACUAGGAAACUAACAAUAUUUGACUAAUUCAGGAAUUAGGUUACUGAUAUAAGUGAGUGAUAAGCCACGUAUGAGAACACCUCCUUAAUGAUUCCCCAUCAUAGGAUGACAUGAGCAAAACCUGAAGAAAUAGGUUAUUGAUACAUGAAGUGACCCUCGACAGCUAAGAUUAUUUUGGGGGUUUUCAAAGUUCUUUUGGAGUAAUGAUGCGAAGAGUUUUUGGAUGGGUGACGAGAUGAAAUUCGCUUUUGAGUUAUUGCAAAGAAUUGAUACACUAAAGAUGAUAUGCAAAGACUAGAGUUAAGGAGCUUAUCCAAAGAGUUGAAGUACAGUGUUUGAUGAUGUUUUUCUAAGGUACAGUGUUUGAUGAUGUUUUUCAAUCAAUACACAAUCAAUACAAAAAUAUUUUAUUUAGAUUGUUGUUUGUUCUCUAUAUCUUUUGUAUUACACAAUCAAUACAAAAAUAUUUUCUGUAGAUUGUUGUUUGUUUGUUUUUUUGGUUUUCUAGUUAUUUAAAUCUUAGGUUUUUUAUGUAAAUUUUAUUUUAAUUAAUAUAGUGGUUUUUAUUUUUAAUUAAUUUUAUGUUUAUUACUCAUCUAAAAAAAUUAUAAAUCAUAAAAAUCAAUUAUUUUUAUUAAAAAAAAAAUGAAGGAAGCUUCCCACACACACUUUGACUUUUGGUGAAGAAAAAAAAAGUAAAAGAAAUGAUGACGUCGCAGACAAAAGAUGAGGGAAACUUCCCGUACCACCUCUAGACUUAUAAGAAAAGGAGGAAGCAAAAUAUGAUGCCUACCACCCUAAAUUUUCUGAUUUUACAAAUGAUAAGGAAAAAAAACUAACAUCUUAAUGCGUUUUGUGGUCCAUGAGAGCACAUGGUAACGGAAUUAAGAAAUGCACAAAACAACAUAGCGAGACAGCUAUCCGAUUCUAGUAUUCUUAUUUUGUCCAUUUCCUCAAACGUUGAAUUACAAUUUACAAACCAUUCUCUAUAAAUAAUGUAUGGCAAUAACUAGUUCUCCUUUGGGUAAGGUGCAUUCUGAUUGGCUAAAGCAAAAUAUAAAUGUGGCCCAUUUUAUCAUUUUCCACAAGGGGCUUUAUUGAUUAUAUUUUAAAGAUUCCUAGGUUUUUAUAAUUGUGAAUUUACAGAGCAUAUACACAAAAAACCACAUUUGGAUAUUGAUGUUUGGGACCUCGGAGUUUUCAAAUAUAAAAUGGGUACAAAUUACAUCGUUAUUCUUCAUAGUGGUGAUUCUUUGUUUGUAAGUUUGUGGUAUCAAAAGCUCGAGUACACAUGAUUUUAGAUUUCUCAUAAAAAAAUUAUUCUUUAUUAACUGAGUUUAAAAAUGCAUCUAAUGUCAUAUAAAUACUUCUUUAAUAAAAAAAUUUGAGUUGAAGAAAAGUUUAAAAUUUAUUCACAUAUGAAUUUACCAAAUAAGACCAUAACUGUGACACCCAAUUGAAUUAAAUAGGAUUAAACAUGAAUUUAUGUGUAACGAGUACAAGUGAACAUAACACAUAGUAUAGGGCCUGUAAUGUAAAUAAUGGGGAGUUUUUGUGUUUGGCCAAGGGUAAACCGUUACUCAAGCUUUUGAGUUAUGUUUCCUUUACCGAUUAGGACUUGAUUUGAAGAUUGUUCCUUAAAUUGAUUCAUAUAAUAAAUCGAUAUUUAUAAAUCAAUCAAGUUUAUCCCAAAAGCAAUUUGCAUAAUAAUGUUAGAUAAUUAUGGGACCACAUCAUAUAUAUGUAACUAGUUUAUAAUCCGUGGGAACCACGGUUAGAAAAUUAAUUAAACUUUCUAAGUAAAAAUUUAAAAUUAUGAAUUAAUAAUUUUAAAUAACUUAUUAAUUAAAAGAUAUUUUUUUAGUUAUAUAUAUAUAUAUANUAUAUAUAAUCGUUGAUUCAAAUAAAUACGUAAAAUAUAUCAUAUUAUAAUUUGUAUAAAUUUUAUUUAUUUUUAUUCUAAUAUUAUUAAUUUAAUGUAAUUAAAAUGUGAUUUAAAUUUUGAAAUUUGAAAUUUGAAAUGGAGAAUUAAUAGAUUGAUAAAUGCCAUGAUAUUAAUUACAAGUGCCAAUAGAUUGACAAGUGUCAUAAUAUUUAUUACAAUGGCUAACAUGGUGACACAUGGCAAAAGAACUACUCUUUUAUUAGUAUAGGGAGAAGGGAGAUGUUAUCAUUAAAUCAAGUUAUUAUUAUAAGACUAUAAAUUGUUGAUGGACCGAUUUAUAGAUAUUUAUUUACCUUGUGAGUUAAGUUCCCGAUUUGACUUAAAAUCCUCAAGAUCCAUUCCAUCUCUCACAUUAUGGUUUAUCUCCAUCUAUAAAUAUAUGUGAUGAGGAGCAGAUCGACACACACGAAAAUACACAUGAAAAUUCGUUUAAGGUUUGAUGAGGGAUUUUAGAAAGAACUCUUGUGAUCAACUGGAAAACUCAACCUAGUUUUUCAAAUUCGAAGAUUAUAAUGAAAUCAGGUAUCUAAUCGUUCUUUCUUGAUUAAGCUUUCUUGUAAUCAAAUUCGAGCUUAAGAUCCUUAUGCUUCCGCGUUUAUGUUUUAGUUAUCAAAACAUCCAACAAUUGGUAUCAGAGCCUACUCGAAUCUAAUAUCAGAAAUUUAAGUUUAGGUUGAUUAAGAUAUGUGUGAAUAUUUUAAAUUAAGCAUAUCCGUGUAAAUUGAUCUUCAACAAGAGAAACGGGUUAUGUCAACCGUAUAUUUUCUUUGUUUGGGUUUUAUUUAUUAAAAAAAUGCUUAUCACAUUUUUGCAAACCCUCAUGAUUUUUGUCGCUUUCAAUAAUUAAUAGUAUGGCUUCAUUCCUUUUAUUUUAGGAAUUAAAUAUGGAUAUAAUAAGUCAUAUAAGUUCCAUUUAAAUUGUGUAAAGUCUGUCUUUUCUGACAUCAUUUAUUAAUUUCUUUAUAAGAAUUUAAUAAAAUAGUCGUAUCUUUUAUUUUGUAUUUAAAAGUUGUGUUUGUAUAUUUGUCGGUUUAUUUUUUUAAGCUAUAAUGACACUGUAUGUACAAGUAUAAUUAUUUUAUUUAGUUGUGAAAUUUGAAUAAGGUAUGAAAUCCAUUUUUUUUAUCAUUUUAUGUAUCAAGAGGAUUUCAUAAUGAUCAAUUUUUAGCAAAUACAAUUAUAUGGGAAUAUUAUUAUGAUAGAUUUUGAUUUGAUUUUAUUGUUGUUGUCUUUUCCGAACAUAGUUGACAUCAUUAUCUUCAUAAUCUAAUUGGCCUAAAAUAUUGUGGGGCAUUUAAGGAAAUUAUUAGAUAACAUCUUUUGUUAUAUAUCAAUUUGACACCAUUUCAUGUAUGGUUGUCUUUUAUUUAUGGUUAUCAAUAAAUUCGGUUAUGCUAUUAUUUAUUUUCUUGGAAAAUUUAGUGACAUUAUAUAUCGCCAAAGUGAUCCCUUUUUUGUAAAUAUUAAUUUUCUAAGAAUCUAAAUAUUAUGGUUUAUAUGUUUAUUAAUGCGAAUAUUAAUCGAUCCAAAUGUAGGUUAAUAUUUGGCCGGAUAAAUACAUGUUCAAUGAUAAAUAUGCGACAAUUUUUAGGUUACAUGUCAUUAAUAAGUCAAUCCAAAGAGGGCUUAUUAAUUGAUAUGAUAUAUUGUCAAUUCUUAUUAUCAAAAUUUAUAGUUUAUGUGUUUAUUAAUGCGGGUAUUAGCCGACCCAAAGGUAGACUGCUAUUUGGCCGAAUAAACAUAUAUGUGGUGAUAAAAAUGCGGUGAUUUGUUUUUUUGGUUCCAUAUGAUUAAUAAGUCAAUCCAAAGAGGGGCUUGUUAAUUGACAUGAUUUAUUGUCAAUGUUUAUCUCUAAAACAAGGAUAUAUCUUGCAAGUUAGUAUUACUUAUUAAUGUUGUGUUGAUACCUUGUAAAGAUGUCAUAAAUUGAAUUUAUUGAUUACAAUUUAUGGAUUAAUAAGCAUAAAAAUAGAUUUGUUUAUGUUUGAAUAAUGGUAUUAUAUCUGCUAACAUUGAUCACAUUUAUGAUUUAUGUACUCAAUGAAAUUAAUUUUAAAGAAUAGAAUAAGGGCAUUAUGUUAGUUCUCAAUUGCAUGGAUAUUGACUUUAUAUUUUGGAUAGAGCAACAAUCUUUGAGGAUGUUGAGUUUGGGGGAGAAACAAGGUUAAAACAUUGUCCUUAAGGAGGAAUCAAUCUUGAUUCCUAUUAUUGCUUUUGAUAGUAUGCAGAUUAUGAAUCAGUAAUCGAUAAUGUUAUUCGAUCUCCUAUUCAAAAUACACAAACUCAUCAGCCUCAAAUUUGGAUAUCCUAUGUGUGGUACCACAUUUUUCAUCAACUUAUUAUCUCUUUUGGUUUUGAGGUAAAUACAAUAGUUGAUUUUGUGUAUCACAGAUUAAGUAAAAGUAAAUUUAUCUUUCUGGUUUUGGGCAGCUAUCUACGAAAUUCAAGUUUAGAUCAUAAGAAAGCAACCAAAUGGAUUUUGAGAUAUCUAUAUAUAACAAAAGGCUAUGUGAUCAACUAUAGGAAAUUCAGAUGUUUUGGAGAUCAUUUUUAUUAAGGAAGUGAUUUUAUUAGAUGCCAAAAUAGUUAUUGAUCCAUAUCAGGAUACUUUUACAUAUUAGCAUGAUGCGUCAUUUCAUGGAAUAGACUUCGGUAACUUUUUCCAUAAUGGCAGAAUAAUUUGUAGCAUGGAAUAUGGUUGUGGAAAUUUGUUACGAGGCUAAACAUUAUUGGUAUUAAAAGACUACUAAAGUUUUGAUAAUAAGUCAACAAUGUUAUAUUCCAACAACAGAAGUUCUAUUAAGUCAAAUCAUAUUGACAUAAAGUUUUCUUUUGUUCAUACAAUAGUGCAAAAUGGAAAUAUAUAUAGCACAUAUGAACAAACUCCAUGAAAGCGGAUCCUCUCAUAAAGGGAUUACCUCCCUAGGUCUUUCAUGAGCAUACUACACACGUUGGUGUGAUAUUUGGUUUUAUUGGGUGUUUUUAUGGUGCUUUAUGUCUUGUUUAAGAACAAGUAUGUUUUUCUGUACAUAAUUAAGAAUUCAGUUAUCUCCAUUAUUAGUUGCACUUAUUUGAAGUUUGAUCUCACUUCAAUCUAAAGAGGAACUCGUUGGAAAUCUAUUUAGAUUUCAAAAUCACACAUCAUGUUUAAUCUAUGUCGUUAGUUAUAUAUGUAUAUGUGAUCAUUGAUAGGUUUAGUUACCUAAAUUGUAACGAAGACCGCUUUGAUCCUAUACUAUUAUCAGGGCCGGCCCUUGGCAAGCUCACAAGGUGCAUAAGAACAGGGCCCCAAAAAGUCGGAGGGCCCAAUUUUUUUAGCAGCUAUGUUACCUAUGUUCAACCCAAAACAAAAAAUUAGGUUUAUAUUCUAUUUGCCGGCAUUUAUCAGUCCACGCAAGGAGCGGGAAAAAGCAAGAAAUUUCGGGAAACCCAAAAGAACGCUUCGGUUUCUUCAUCAGAUCUUUGCUUAGGCAUGUGGCAAGAAUUAAAUCUGCAAUGGUAUUGUUUGAUUCAUAUCAGUGAUUUUGGAGGGCAAUGAGGCAAUCAACAAUCUUCCUUCUUUCUUUUUUUCUUCACGAAAUUUUGAAACAAACUUACAACCUGUCUCAAAAAUCAGAAAAUCGUUCUUCACUUAUUUCUUUUCGAAAAUCAGAUCUUAUGCUUUGUGCCCUGUUACGAUUUUCAUUUAUAAUUUCUGGCUUUUUAUGUGUUCAUUGUAUGUUAUUAUGAUUUUGUUUCUAAUUUCUGGCUUUUCUUUUCUAAUUUUUGGCUCUUUAUUUAUCAUUUGUAUAUUGUUAUGAAUUCGUGUCUGAUUUAUGGAUAUCUUUUUUGAUAUCUUGUUUUUCUCAUCUGAUUUCUAACUUUUUAAUUAUGUUUAAGUAGUUACAUAAGCGAAUUUGAAGAUAAGUGUCAUGUUUUGAUUUUAUUUUAUUGGAUUAUAUCUUGUUCUUAUUUUUGGAUUUUUCUCUUGUUUUGUUUUGUGGCAUUUUAGUUAUGAAGAGGGAAAAGCUUCGAUAAGACACACUCACCUGAUGCCUUAGAUGUGGCUCCACAUGUAUUUCAACAUUUUAUUACAUUUUUAAUCUAUUGCAUUUUAGCAGUUGUUAUUCAGUUGUAUACCUAACGUUUUACAUAUUUGGUUACAUUAUUUAAGGAUGUUGAGGUCGAAGUUCCUUGAAGCAUGAUAUUGUUGAAGUUCUAAUUUGUACAAGAUAUUGGUUGUUUAAAGUUAAAUCUAUUUGUGUUCAUUUACUUGCUGAACAUUAGAAUAUAGUGUAUUAAUUUAUUUUGUAAGGAUGACAUUAUGAUUGUUGUUUUUUAUAUGAGGACAUUAUGUUUGUUGUUUUAUGUAUUUGCAAUAGAAAAUUAAAAUUUAUAAUUGUUUUGCUUAAAUUUUGAAAUAUUUCAAAUUUUAGGGCCUAUUUUUUUUGUUAUCGCACAAGGCCUUCAAAAUCUCAGGGCCGGCCCUGACUAUUAUGAUUAGUGGACGAAAUUCUUUAAAGGUACCAAUAUUAUGAUAACAUUCAUUAGAGCGCUUAAACAGUUAUACGUACAUUUAUAUAUUCGUGGUCUAGUGGGAGAUUGUUAGAUAAUUAUNAUAUAUGUGAUGUUAUCAUUAAAUCAAGUUAUUAUGGUAAGAGUAUAAAUUGUUGAUGGACCGAUUUAUAGAAUAUUCACUUAACUUGUGGGUCGAGUUCUCGAUUUGACUCAAGAUCCUCAAGAUCCCUUCCAUCUCUCACAUUAGGGUUUAUCUCCAUCUAUAAAUACAUGUGAUGAGGAGCAGAUCGACACACACAAAAAUACACAUGAAAAUUCGUUUAAGGAUUGCUGAGGGAUUUUAGAGAGAGCUCUUGAGAUCAACUGGAAAACCCAAACCUAGUUCUUCAUAUUCGAAGAUUAUAAUGAAAUCAAGUAUCUAAUCGUUCUUUCUUGAUUAAGCUUUCUUGUAAUCAGAUUCGAGCUUAAGAACCUUAUGCUUCCGCGUUUAUGUUUUAGUUAUCAAAACAUCCAACAAAUAAGUCUUAGCUCAUUCCUUACAAAAAUAUUCAUAUUUGAGCUUUUAUGCUCAUUGAUAUAGUAAUCAUAGUUAACAUACAGGGAAAUAUUUAAUAGACAAAUUAAAUAUCAUUCUACUUUUUAUUCCUACAAAUCCUCCUACCCAUUUAAAUGAUAACAUGCGUCACAUUAAUAUCUUAAAAUAUCACUAAAUUUCAUUAAAUGAGCAUUAAAUGUUACACAUGUCACAAUUUAAUUGGAUAGAAGAAUUUAUAGAAACAAAAAAAUAGGAGGAUAUUUAAUUUCUCUAUUUAAUAUGUAUCAAUAUUUUAGUCCAUGAUAUGGGUUAAAACUUCCAAAAAAUAAUUUGUUGGUAGGUUUCGAAAAUUUAGCUGAUAUCCUGUUUUUUUCGUUAAUUUGGUAAAAAUAUUUGGAUGUUUACGAGGAUUACUAUAUUUUUUAACAAAUAACCAAAAUAUUAUGAUUUUUUGAAGAUUAUCCUUGAAUUAGUAUAUAUUAUUGUUAACAAUUCAUUAAAGCGUAACAUAUAUUUUCUAUUAUAAUCAAAUGAAAUACAGUUUUUGCUAAUUUCAAUGAAUGAAAAUGUGGAUUAAGUACUUAUAUUGUUUGCUGACCACUUCAAACUUUUUACAUUUAUCUUAUGUAUCGUUAUGAGUAUCAUGUUAAUAUACACUAUGUGGGUGUUCAUCUGAUGUUGAUGUUCUUUUAAUGUUAUUUAACCUAACUACCAUCCGAUCUCCAUACAUUAGCAACCAUCACUUCCAUCGAGAGUUAAAAGUGAACAUUGAAUGCUAGUUUAAACUAAAACAAAUGAAAGGUGAGUAUUUAUUUAAAAUGUCAUUCAACGUUCACUCCUUAUCAUAAUGUGUGCUAGCUGAUGAUUUUUAUCAGGUAAGAUAUGGAGGUUGGAUGGUAGUUAGUUUAAAAAACAUAAAAUGAACACCAACAUCAGCGGGACACCCAUAAAAUGUAUCUCACCAUGACAACCACAAUGAUGCAUAAGAAGAAUGUAGAGAGUUUUAAAUUACCAUCAAACAAUAUGAAACUAUUUAGUCCAUCUUUCUACUUCUAGAAAUUAGCAACACAUGUAUUUCUUUUAUUUAUGAAAAAAAAAAAGUUGUAUUACAUUUACAAAUGAUUUGAUAAUAAUAAUAAUGUACAUUUGUUCAAUAGUGGUCUUAAGAAAAGUUUAAAUAUUUUGGUUGUUGGUUAAAACAAAGUAAUCAUUAGGAAAAGUUUCAAUAUUUUAACCAAAUUAACAAAAAAAGACGGGAUACCGGCUAAAUCUGCAAAACUGAUCAAAAAGGGUUUUCUGAAAUUUUAGCCAGCAUUAUGUGUUUUUCUGUUAAUGAAUUUUAAUCGAUCGNAUAUAUAUAUAUAUAUAUAUAUAUGAAAAAAUUCAAUAGAGAACAAUUAUUAAUCAAGAAAUCAAGGAACCAAUCCAAACCGUCGAAAUUUAAAACGAUCAACGGUAAAAUGAAGAGUUGUAGACUUUUACAAUUGACGUACAUCCACCGGAUCAUAACAAAACGUACUUCCUUUUUUUAGUUUAAUUUUUUUAGGUCAUGUUUUUUAUAAAAAAAAAAAAGCAAAUAUAUCAUUGUUCGUGAUUUUCAGUCAUCUUUCUAUAGAGAUCCAUAUUGAUAUAUAAAAAAUGAUUCUUUUUCAAAAAACUCACUUCAUUUUCUUUGUUUGUUGAAAAGUUAAGAUCUAUUUUUUAUAGAAAAAAAUUAAUAAAUAUAUCAAAAUUCAUAUUUUUUGGUACUCUUUAAACAUAGACUCAUAUUGAUGCUAAAAAAAAUCGAUAUUUCAAUUCAGAUUCACAUUGUGGACCUGUUCAAAAUCACAUUGCAAACCUGUUCAGAUUCACAUUGCAAAUAUGCUCAGAUUCACUGUGUGAAUAAUAGUAAGUCAGAUUCACAUUGCGAACCUGUUCAGGUUCACAUUGUGAAUCUGCUCAGAUUCACAGUGUGAAUAAUAGUAAAUUUCACUAACUUAAUUUGCGAAUGAUCGAAGAGUUGAAAUAGUAAGUUAAAUUCACAUUGUGAAUGUUACAAACUUAAAUAUUUACAGUUUAGAUUCACAGUGUGAAUAUGAACUGAUCAAACUUUUUCACAUUAUAAAUGUUAAAAAUUGAAAUAUUUACAGUUUAGAUUCACAGUGUUGUGAAUCUACACUGAUCGAGUUUUUUUUAAUCGGUGUUGAUGUUUAUUAAUAGAGUAUAAAAAAUUACUCCCUCCGUCCCAUAAUAAUUUUCCACUUUUGACUUUUGAAGUCUUUAUUCAUCAACUUUGACCUUAAAUAUUGUUAUUUGUGUUAUGUAUUACUCGUUGAAACUUAUAGCAAUGAAAAAACAUUUAAAAUACAAUCCAUUCAUAAAUUUUGCAUUAAGUUUUUUAUAUCAAGGACAAAAAUAUUUAAGGUCAAAGUUGAAGAAUAAAGACUUCAAAAGUCAAAAGUGGACAAUAAAUAAGGGACGGAGGUAGUAAUAUUUUUGGUAUAAUUAGUUUUUUUUUUUUGGAUAAAAAUAAAUUUAAAUAUUGAAAAAAAUAACAAAAUGAAGUGGGUUUUUUAGAAAAAAAAAAUCUUUUUUAUAUAUCAACAUAGAUCACUAUGGAAAGAGGACGAAAAAUCGUGAACAACGAAAAAUGUGGUGUGUUUUUUGGUAAGGGGGUGGAUUUUUUGAUAUAAUCUGGUGUGUGUGCGUCCAAUGUAGAAGUGUACAUCUAUUUCCUUAGCCGUUGAUCAUUAUGAUUUCGGACGCUCACAAUUAGUUCUUUGAUUCCUUGUUAAUUAUGGUUAUUUAUUGAACCUCAUCGUUAUGUUUAAAUUGUGAAAGAUAUUUUAUGAAAAAUCCACGAGCCUAAAAGGUUUGAUUUAGAUAACAAUAAGAUAAUNNNNNNNNNNNNNNNNNNNNNNNNNNNNNNNNNNNNNNNNNNNNNNNNNNNNNNNNNNNNNNNNNNNNNNNNNNNNCACACACACUACCCGUUUACCCGUGUCAAGCGACAUGUGCGAAUAAUUUUUUUUUUUUUAAAUUAGUUCUUAGAGACGAUUAGUUCUUUUACACAAAUAGAUUACUAUAUCUAAACAAUUACCAAUAAAAGUUAAUCGUACAACAAUUUUUUAUACGGCACAUUUGAGGUAUAAACUUCGUCCUCGUUGAACUUUUUCAGCAUUCACUAAUACCUUUGGAUUGACACGUAAUUUUCCUUUGGACAAUGCAACAUAAAGUUUCUCAUGCUUGAAAAUAGUUUUCAGUCGACUGAUUUUUCUUUAAGCAGACACUAAUUAAUUCCAUUUCGAUGAGUAGUUUCUUGUUAACGAAUAAUUUUCUAUAACUUUAUUUUGACGAACAAUGAUAGUUUCUUUAGAAACACGUGAGGUUACAAAGAACAAGAAAUGCAUCAACAUAUAUCUAAGUUUAUUUUGCGGGGAUUGUUUGAUGAAUAGUUUUAUUUAAGGUAAAUAGUUUUUUAUUUUACGUAAAUAGUUGUUUUUGAAAGAUGAUGAAUAGUUUUUUCAAUGAAUAGUCGUUUGUUAGUAUCGUUAAGAUUUUUGUAUUGAUUUAUAAUUAACCAAAAAUGACAAAGGAUAUUUGAGAUUACCAUUAGAAACCAACGUUUUAUUUUAUUUUAUUUUCAUAGCAUAAUCUGUCAUUUUUAGAAACAUUAUUGGGGUUUGAUUGGUUAAAUAAUACUUCCUCUCUUCCAAAAUUAUUGUCCACCUUACUAUUAUAGUUUGUCUCAAAAUUAUUGUCCACUACCAAAAGUAGAUAUAUACUUUUACCAUAUUACCCCUAACAUUUAAUAAAGUAAACUUGAAUAAUUACAAACACACAUUUUCCAUUGGUUUUAGAAAUGGGCAAGAGGGUCAUUUUACUCAAAAAGACAAAAGUAAUGAUUGUUUUUCUUAAUUUAUGUGUUUUUUGUCCGUGGACAAUAAUUUUGGGACGGAGGGAGUAACAAUUUUCACAAUCUAAUAUAGUGAUCGUUAACAAAGAAAAUUAUUGAUCAAUCAAAACAUCAAUUUACCAAAAUACCCAUGGUAUACUAAAAUGCUAUAAUAUCAUGAUAUAAUCAAUAUUGAUAUAUUGUUUAAAGUUUCAUGACCUAAUAAAAAAAGUUAAAUGACCAAUAUACAUAUAUUAAAACUAGAAAGGUGUACCCCCCUUCGCGGGGUGUUGGAAGGUGUCACUUUUGAAUGGUAGGCACACUAAAGUACAUUGCUAUUCUCUGCAAUUCGCCUGUACAUUUCUAUUUCUUAACCUGUACAUUGCUAUUUCUUAAUUUGAUAACUAUAAAUGAAAGAGGUUUUCAAAGAAUAUUGGUUCUAACAGUUUUGAUUUAAGAAAAUUUUGAAAGCUUGUACUUUAACAUGAAUAGCAUCCAGAAUUGGUUUCCAUUCCUCCACUUGUUCCCCUGUUCAUGUAAACUCCCAUCUUUUUUUUUUGUUUCUAAUGAUAGCUCUAUCAGGACUCAAUUGUUGAUGGUGAUGUACGUACUUCCUCGCUUGUCCCUCCAUCAAAACCCUGGAGGUUUCCAGGUUCAACCAUGAUCGAUCAAAAGAAAAUAGAAGUGACCCACUUCAAUUUCUGAAGUUAUUUUGCAUGAAUCCUCUGUAGGGCGACGAAAUCGUACCCCAAAACGAAGGAAUAGAUAAAAAUAAAGAGAAACAACAGAAGCGGGUAACCGGAAGGUCGGGAUCAGAAUUGCAGAAAGGAAUUACAGAAGAAGAGAAUUAAAGAAGAAGAAGAGAAUUAAAGAAGAGAGAAAGUCGGGUAACUGGACGGUUGCGUGAAGCAGAAGAACCAUCAACCUGGUGAAGAUGAUGGAAGGCGUUGUCGAUCCAUUCAUUGCCGACCUGCGGACAUCUUCUCCCACUUACCGAUAUUGAGCGGAAUCGGUGGAGGCCUCUUCUUUUCCCACUUACAUUGCGAGGUCAUAUGUAUUGUUUUUUUUUGGUCUAAGUCGUUAAAACAAUUUGUUACGAUAGUAUUUUUUAUAAAACACAUUGAAAGGUAAUAUAUACAAAUAAGCAAAAAAUAAAAAAAUAUAAUCAACUAUGUACUCAAUAGAAGAUUUGGGAUUCGGGAAGCUGAUUACACAUCAAAACAUUUUAUCAAAUUUGUAACAAAAUCAAUACCAAGUUUGAUUUGACAACAAUACUCAAUAGAAGAUUUGGGAUUCGGGAAGUUGAUUACACAUCAAAACAUUUUAUCAAAUUUGUAACAAAAUCAAUACCAAGUUUGAUUUGACAAAGUCAAAGUAAACAUUUUUUUUCUUGUCCCUGUGGUUGCAUCAGUCUUUCCAUUUCCAUGAUGGCAACAUCUACUUGCUCUGCUGCCACCUGCCAAGCAGCAGAAAUAAUAUAUUCAUGUGAAGACCAAAACGACAUAUGGUAUGUUGCUAUUUUUUUACCAAAUAAUAAAAUUGCAGCAUAUAAUUGGUUCCACGGUGGGUAACUUCAACCUUGAAUCUUGUCAUUGUUUUUUUGAUCUACUCAGCAUAAAAGAUGCAAAAUAAUAGUAAUAAUAAUAACACAUCAAUUAGUGUUGAAUCAUAUUAAAACAAUUUUUAAAAAAAGAAGCUAACCUUCAAUCGGUCUGCAUCAGAUAAAGGUCUUGCAGAAACAUGUCAAUUCAAAAGCUGUGUUAGAAAGUUGAUCACAGGCAAUGGCUCGAUGAACGCAGUAGAAAACAUAUAUGCAUCACAAACAUGUCAUAAAACAACAUCACGACAACAAAUUUCAAAGAACACCAAAAGAAAAGUUGCAAAUUUUUUAGUAAAUUACAAAAUUUUUCCCUGCACUUUCUGAAUUUUAUAAAGUUUUGCCCUUAUUAAAGAUUCUAUAGACUAAAAUCAAUGAGAAAAUAUUGACCAAACUCAGAGUUGUUGGAAAAAAUGAUUGGGUUAGUUCAUUAUAAUCCAAAAUAUAAGGCAUCCAUAAACAAAUGAAAGUAAGUACAUUGCUAUUUUAAACAUCCACAACAUUAAGAAAGCAGCUGAAAUUGUCCAUACCAACCAAUCCCUAAAUCACUGCAGACUGCUUAAUGUCAAUCCACCGGGUGUAGUUACAAUACGACACCAAUAACCCUACGAUUACAAUAUCCUAAUAAACGAACUCUAAAAGUACUCUAAACCAAUCAAUGAAAGUUCAUUGCUAACAUAUGCAUUUAAAUAUCCUGCAUGCCCUGUUCGUGAAGAUUGGCUAUUGAUGUUUUCUCCCCCAUUGCCUUGGUCAUCAAUCCGUGAGUAUCUACACAGAAAAAAAAAAGAAUUGGGUAUCAGAUGCAGGAAAAAAAAUCUAAUGAAAACCUAAAAAAUCAUAGAAGUUUCAUAUAUUGUUUCCUAAUUUAACCAUUUUCACCUCUUAUAUCAUGUUUUAAUAAUAAUUUGCCCUAAUGUGAAAAUUAACAAAUGAGGAAAGUAAAAAAGUUCACUUACUUCUUCUUCCCAAUUUUUUCUAUGUCCAGGAGAUGGUGGGACCCACAACUGUCCAUUCUCUAAAACCUUCAUUAAAUGUGAGUUAUCUUUUGAUGAACGCAAGAAUACAGAAGCUGACAUACUGCACACUCAUUCCUUUUGUAGUGAUGUUUGUGUUCUUAUUGAAAGUAAAACUUGCAAAGUUUGAAAGAUCUGUAAAAAAAAAUUAAGAUAAUUAAAACUCUUGUUUCCUUCAAAAUCAAUAAAGAAUCAAGAUUUGAUAGCUUCGGUGUAAGGGAUGUUUCAAUUGGUUUUAGAAAGUGAUUAUGUAAUAGUGAAUGAAAAUAAAGUAAUCAAGCCACAAAUAACAUCAUCGUUCCAAAGAUUACAUCCAAAGACCCAUCUAAAAGGGAAUCAUAAAUCAACUAUUCGUCGGAAUAGCUUCACGGCUUCUACGGAUUUUAAAUUAAAGUAAAUAUUAAAGGCAUCCGAGGCUUUCCAACAAUUGCAUCAACCUUGCAACAUGUAAGUAAAAUAGAUAAAUAUAUAAUAAUUGUUUAUUUGUUUCAAAAGAAGUGUUUUUUUUUUAACUAAAACUAUAAAUUUUAUGUAUUCACUUGUAAAUAGAAAAAAAUAAUAGAAGUUUACCAUCAACUUUUCAAUUAUGCCCCUGCCCCUUGAUCAAAUUAUUCGAAGACAAAUCAGAUCUGGUUGAAGAACAAAAUAAUAAGUAAUAUUUGAAAAAAAUUCAACAUUAAAAUGUCCCUAUAAUCAAAUUAUUCCAACGGUUUGAGAACCUGAAUCUUCAUAAUAUUUAGAGUGCCCUACAACAAAAAAGUCCCAAUAAGUAGCGAUAAACAGAAGAUACAAUAUGAGAGGUUGUCCAUUAACAAAACCGAUUUAAUAUUGUAAGUAUGUUGUUAUUAUCAAUAAACAUUAGAGCAUAGAGGUUAAGUACAUUGCUAUUUUUGCAAAAUAUAAAAAUAAAAAAAUAAAAGAAAUCAAAGGGCGAUUAGACAACCAACCGGUUAGAAACCGAAAGAUUUUGGUGUGUGUGUGUGAGAGAGGGAGACAGAGUGCUGAUGUGGAUACCUAUACCAUAAAGUGAUGAGACGAUUUGUAUGAUUCCCACUGUGAUCGUUUGAGAAUGAACUUUUUGUUCUUGCAGCUGGUAUUACUAUCACCCUGAUAAAAAAAAAUAUAACGAUAAAGCAUUGUAAGGGUAUUAGGGUAAUAAGGGUAGUUUAGUUAUGAUCAUCACAAAGUACAAGUUGAAGAGGCAUGAUUUGAAAUCAAAGCACACACUUGGCCAGUGUCCGUUCUCAUGAGAAACAUUGAACCCUUUAGCAAAUUACUAUAAUUUUUAAAAACAAACAGUUCAAUGGAUAUUUCGAUUUUUUUAAAAUACCAUUAGGCUAUUUACUAACAAUUCAGAUUUGGAUAAGAGAAACUUUAUAUAAAAAAACCUUAAUACUUGUGAAUCAUCGAAUGGCUUCAUCUUUCAGGUCCACUGUCUCAUUGUUCUUCCUCAUAAGGACCUGUAAAUGUACACAUACUUAAACACAACUGAUAAUUUGAAACAAAGGUCAUAAACAAAGCAAAAGUGGGAAAACUCGUUGACCCCAAAUAAGUAAAUAACUUCUAUAAAGCAACAAUUUAAAUAAAUUAAAAAGGAAUUUCAAUUAAUUAAGAAAAAGAAAAGGGGAAAGACAAAUUACAUUAAAUUCAGAUUCUAUGGCCUCGAUUUGUUGAUUCCAAAUGGCUGCAACAAAUUUUGUAGGCUUGGAUCUAUUAAACUGUCUAAACCAACAAACAACAACCAAAAACAUAAAACAAUCAUCAGAUAAAAAAUAAUCAAAGUACAACACCUGAUAUAUAGUAAAAAUGAUCAUAUUUCUAAAGAUUAAAAAUGACGUAACUACAAUAUUUUAUGUGAGAAUCAUGUUAUUUGAAGAGAAAUCGGCGCUUAUGGUUCGAAGUCAAACAAAAACCCUAAUCAACCGUCGAAUGACCUAUGCCUUUGAUGAAUCGUCUUCGUAGGUAUUUCUAUCGAUGCGAUCCUCUAACGUAAUACCAUCUACCCACCCGAAGCGGCGGUAAGGGGUGAUAGCGACCAGCGAAGCGGCAAAGAGAUGAAAAGGAAAUUUCUAGUAGCUGGAGAGAUGAGGCGGUGGAUGAAGAUCUAUCCGGAUGAAAACGGAAAAGGAUGAACAACAUGUGUGAUGGUUUUGAGGGGCGACGCAACUGGAAGUCGGAGGGUGUAAAGAAGAAUGACAGCAAUCAAAAUAUCAUUGGGCGAAAAAACGGUACAAAACACGUGUUGAUAUAUAAGCAGAGGAUCUAUUUUGCCAAAUGUAUAUAUAAAGAAGGACCAUUUUUGCUCCAUCCUUAGCAAAUUUACUGUAGCUAAGGAUUCCGUCCCAAAAUUAUUGUCCACAGACAAAAAAACACACAGAUUAAGAAAAUCAAUAAUUAGUUUUGCUUUUUUGAGUAAAAUGACUUCAUUGUCCUUUUUUAAAACCAAUGGGAAAUGUGUAUUUGUAAUUAUUAUAGUUUACUUUAUUAAAUGUUAAGGGCAACAUGGUAAAAAUGUAUAUCUAUUUUGGUAGUGGACAAUAAUUUUGGGACAAACUAAAAUAGUAAGGUGGACAAUUAUUUUGGGACGGAAAGAGUAUAAUAAGAGAUAAGAAUAUAGAAAGAAAUGGUCUAAAUAAAGACACACGUCAUUUGUAUACAUAAAUAAUAGUUUUUUGACAAUUUAAUUUACAUAUAUUCAUUAAGAUAAAGUAGUUACCGGAAAGUUGAUAACUAUCUAUUCUAAUAAACGAAUGUUUUUUUUAUUACAUGUCAUAUUCUCAUUCAAUUUGUCAAAUGUCAUUUCGUGGCUGUUUUGAAUUAAUUUUUUUCCACACAUCAUUUUAUGGGUUUUUCUAUUUUAAUAAAUUACACAUAAUACUUUAAUGUAAUAAUGACAAUAAAUAUAUUAAUAAACAAAUAUCAAUUUCAUUAAUGAACUUACAUUCUUAUUUCAAAAUUCUCAAAUUAAAGUUCAUUAUUUUAUUUUGUUUAUUUGUUUAAAUUUAAAAGAUAAAAAAAUCAAUUUUAAUAAUUUAUUACUUUUUUUCUUAUAAAUCCAAAGUUCUUAAAUAUUUAAACCUUUAUAUAUAUANAUCAAUUUAAAUAAUUAAUUAUUUUUCUUAUUUUCUUAUAAUUCCAAAGUUCUUAAAUAUUUAGACUUUUAUAUUUAAUUUUUUUAAUUAACCCAUGUAAUACAUGGAUCUUACACCUAGUUUGUUAUAUAAACCAAUAUUUGAUUCUAAAGUUUUUUUUAAUACAUUGUAUUAUAUAAAUAUACCAAACAUAUAACAUUUUAUCCUAAAUUCUCCUACAUUAUUUUAUGAUGUAAAAAUAAUAUAUUAUAUUUAAAUAUUAUAAUUAACAUGUGUAUUAAACUUUAAUUAAAAUGGGAAAGUAAUUUUGAUUGUAUAUACGCAUCAUUUUUUUUAGUUAAAUGUCAUGUUAAAUUUUAGUUUGAAGGUGGAACUUGACACAUCAUUUUAUUAUUAUUUUUAUUAUAUUUGGGAUUAUGCUAUAAGUACUUCAUUAACUAAUUUUACCUCUCCCCCCACCCAUCCUACAUCAAUCUAAUCAAUCUUUUACUUUUGAUUUGACAUCAUUUUUUUUGUUUUUAUCUUUUUUUGUUUUUAUCUUUUUUUGUUUUAUUAUCAUUAUUACUAUUAUUAUUAUUAUUGAUUUCGAUAACCAUUUAAAAUACGGACAACAUUUUAAAAUUCGGCCAACAUUAUAAAAUUUGAACGACUAUAUAAAAUGGAACAAAAGUAAAGUUUGUUUUUGAUCCGCUUACCAUGCAUAUGUAAUACCGAACCAAUUAAUAUAUCCAUGAUAAAUAAAGACAAACUUUGUUUUUGUUAUGUUUUAUAUAGUCGUUCGAAUUUUAUUAUGUCGUCCGAAUUUAUAAUGUCGUCAGAAUUUUAAAAUUUUAACCGAAUUUUAAAAUGUUGUCCGAAUUUUAUACGGUUAUCGAAAUUUAUAACAACAACAACAACAACAACAACAACAACAAUAAUAAUAAUAAUAAUAAAACAAAAAACAAAAUAAGAAAAAAAAACAACAAAAGACAAAAAAAAUCACAUAAGAAUGAUGGAAUUAAAAAAUGAGAUAAGGUAUUUAUAGCAUUAGCCAUUACAAAAGGGAACUGAUAUUUCCACUGUAAAUUUUAAUCCAUCCACUGAGAUUUAUUUGAAUUGCCCAUUAUACCAUUCUAUUAAAGUUUUUAGAUAUUACAGGGAAAAAGAUUCUAGGGCUAACGACGCUCCUUCCUUAUUUGAUCUUGCUUUCUCAUCGGCGCAAAUUCUUCAUCUCAUUCUCAAAAGGUAAGUGAUCCUCAUUAUCUAAUUAUGUUUAAACCAUGUGUAUGUGUAAGAAUUUUCAAUCUCUGAUUCUCAAACACCUUUCAUUGCUAUGUGAAUGAAUUGUCGAAGUUUAAAGUUUUGAUCGAUUGAACAUAUUGAUUCUCUGUGCGUAUGACUAUGAUUCUCUGUACAUGAGUAUGAAUUGUGAAAUUUUUUUAUUAUAUGAAUUGUCAAUUCUCUGAUUCUUUAAUUUGUCUGCAACAAGAGCUUGGUAGUCAUAAACUUAGUCUUCAAAAAAAUGGUGCAAGUCACCUUACGUUGUAAUAUUGAAGACUGGAAACUCCAAUAACAAUUGACAUCACAGGUUUGGGUGAAACUGUUUCAGUUGAUUACUCUUAGCCGAUGGAUAUAGAAGGCAAGAAACGAAUUAAUUCUUAACAGGAAAAUAUCUUCACCAGUACGUUCAUAUUUGAUAAUGUUGUAUCUUUGGUGCUUGCAUGGCUUAAACAUAGGGUAGGGGUGGGGGGAAGGAAAAGAUGGAAUAGUCGGUGUAUAUCUCCUUUCCAUUAAUUGUAAAUACUUGGUGCUUUUUUUUUCUUUGUCUUCGUACUAGCCUUUCUACUUUGCAAAGUUUAUAAAAUUCUUGCCGGUUCAAAAAAAACUAUUAUGCACAAGGAUGAUUUUAUCAUAAUCACUGUGCAGAAUUUGUUGGAUAUAGGUCUACACAUGAUAAAAAGCAAAUGAACUAUACAUGAAAAAAUAAAGAACAGAGGCUCAAAAUAUGGGACCAUUAUUUGAGUUUUUAGUUAUCUAUUUUAAUCUCAAACUAGUCCUACUAUGCUGAAAAUAAAAUGCAACAAAUAAACCCACGUACUCUUCCUAGACUGCUGCCACUAUUCCCUUAUUCUACACCAAACUGCCUCAGACUAUGACCAAUUCUUUUGCUCCAAGUUUAUAUUAAAAACAACUAGAUUAACCGAACAUAAUUCACCAAACCACUUUGAAAUUCAAGACUUAUAGCUUUGUGGAGGGAUGCAACAAAUUUACCAAUGACCAGUAUUUUUUGACACUCGCCUCCAUUUGAAGCUUGAAGCAGCGAAGGAAAAAGAUGCGCUGCUGGAGAUUGCAUCACAAAACCACGAUCUUGUAAUUUGGAAACAAUAUUUCAUGGGAUAUUUCUCUCUCUUCAAUAUCAUUUUCUUUAAAUGAAGGGCAUAUUUGUCAUUAUAUUAAUUUUUCAGUGGAAAAAGUAAAAGCCACAGUGGAAAAAUCAAUACCCCUCCAAAAGUUUUCGAUUAAUCACGUGAUACUGCUAACGAGUUAAGUGGCAUAAACUACGCAUAAGAGUGUCAACUUUUAUUUCAAAAGUCAACAAAAUCCGUCUAACCUUAUCCAUGUGAUGGGCAGAACAAAUUAGUUACACGCAUAAACCUACACUAAACGGACGAGGAAAUUAUUGUAUGUUUAAAUAAUAAUGGUUUUUUUUUUCGUGUUUAUUAUAUGAUAUAUUAACAAGAUGAUCCGGAAAAUUUCCCUUUCAAAUUCUAAAUGCUUCGCUGAAAUCGUAUAAAAAGAAUAUAUUAAUGUCAAGGUUUAUUUUAAGAGUCGUAUUUUUAGAGGUCACAUAUUUUUUUUUGAACAGUCAAGUUUAUUAUAAUUAACAAGAUGCUAGAUAAAAAUCAGUAUUACAAGGAAUUGAUAUAAAUGAUAGAGUUUUGCAAUCUAUCGACCCAAAGAAAGAACAAGUGAUAAACAAGUCUAUCGAUAAUACCGUAUUUUCUCGGCAUUCUAGAUCUAAAGAUCAACUCAUCUCGGAAAUUCCAUAUCAACCAUAGCAAAGUAAGAACCAUCGCAUUAAAACAUCAUUUAUGGUUGUUGCUCAUAGGGAUGAGCGUGGUCCACGAAUCUGACCAAAAUUCAAAUUCUACCAAAACCAAAUCAAUUUUUUUUACGAACUGUAGACUAUCGGAUAUGUAUAUCUAGUCUCUGAUUUGUUUCGGUUUUGGUCGGUGGUCAAUCCAAGAUUCAAUCUCACAUGUGUUUAACUUGAUUAAUGUGACAAAAUUAAUAGGUUGAAAAAGUUUGUUUAUUGGAUCUGAUUAUUAAUAAUAUUUUGAGAUUUAUUAAGUGUUUAUAUGGAUUGAAAGACUUAAAAAUUUUGAAUUUUAAACGUGUUGUGUGCUUCUCAAACCUCUAACUUUUAGAGGUGAUUUUAAUAUAUUCCAAAAAUAUCUAAAUAUUUGAUUUAAAAAUCAAGAGUAGAAACUACUUCCAUUGAUCAUAAACUAACAAAAGUCCAGAAGGAUUGGAAGUAAAGAUCGGAAGUGUUUGCAAAACUAAUUAUUCACAUAUAUAUUAUUGCUAAAAAAAAUAAAACUUCUAAAAAAAAAAUCAAAGAAUCAUAGAUGUCCAUAUAAGAAAAUGAGAAGUGUUCAUUUAAAAAUAUGGUACAAUAUCAAUUUAUUUUUCAAAUCAAGGGAUAUCUACUUAGGACUGAAUAUUUUGUCAAAAACGUCCAAGUCAAAAACCUAAAGUAAUGAAAUUCUUGACAUACACUAAAUAUCUUUGGCACCAAUCCUGAGUUUUCUUACUCAGUUAAUAAAUAUUAUAAUGAUAUUAUUUAUGGCAUAUAUGCCAAAAUAAAUGUCGACAACAAUUCGUUGGGAAAUGGAAAGUAUGAACUAUGAGGAAUAAAAAUUUAUUGGAGGUUUUGAGGUUUGACAGCGUAAACUCAUGUUGUUCAUGGCCUACUCCAACUCAAGUAUAGUGACCCAUUAUGGGCUACUUCAAUGGCCCAAAACAGGGGAUCACAAUGUGGAUAUAUUAUCAAAUUUUCAUAAUAGGGUAAUUUGAUUCAUAUUCAUCUAUACCAAAUAUUAUCAAAUAUUAUCAAUCUUGAACUCGUUUUGUUGAGAGAUGUCUCUCCCACAUUUUUUUCAGUUGCAAAAAACAGCAUUGACUUAUUAGUAAAAUUUUAUUACUUGACACCUGAACAAUCAAGAAAAUAAGAAUCACUCUACCCAAAAAGAUAAGUCGUUGUUCAUUUUGUGAUUCAUGCGUCGACCACUUAUUCAUCUCCUUGGUUGUGGAUGGAAUUGAAUUUGAUUCAAAUUUCAUUUUUCUUGUUUCAUGUUUCUACAAAUUCAAUGUUAUCGAAUUUAGUAUGCAAUAAUUAUUUUAUAUUAUCAUCAAGAAUAUGUAGUCACUAACGACUAUAAGAAUUUGGAUGACACACAAUUAAAGCAACAAUUCAAACAAUGAAGAUAUCAAAAUUUAAAAGGAGUUCGCAGUUUAAUUAAAAAACGAAACUAUAUCAAGGAAUAUCAUGUGUGUUACUGUUGUUUAUUUUUGAGAAAAUGAUAAAAUUAGCCAAAUACACUAAUCACCUUACAAAUUUAGCUAAAAAAUUGAAAUUGCAAAAAUAACCACUGAAUUCGCAGAUAGAAAAGCCCCAUCUGCGAUUUUGGCUUUCCAUCUGCGAAUGUACAAGUGCCUAAAGCACAUCUGUGCUUUAGGCACUUGUACAUUCGCAGAUGAAAUUUUUUUUUCAAUUUUUUUUGUGUAUAUAUAGUGUUUUAGCAGACUUAAAUCGCAGAUGGACACAGUCCAUCUGCGAUUUCCUCUCCAGUUCAUCUGCGAAAUAAUGUUUUUUUUUAAUUUUUUUUUUUAAUUUUGACUAUGAAAUCAAUUGGUUUGACUACGAAAUAACCUUACUAUAUAUAAACUUUUGUAGAAAAUUAUCAGUUUAGUUGGUAUUUCUUUUGGAAAUUUCUUUAAACUCUCUCUAAAAAAUGAUUGAAUAUCUGGUUUGUCUUGUAACCGGUGGGAAAUGGCAAGUAACCAAACACUCAAAUCUGGAAUACGUAUGUCCACAAGGAGGUAUUUCUGAAUUCACGUUCAUAUUUUAUGAGUAUAUUAGUUAUAGUGAAUUUGUAUAUCUGGUGAGAAGCAAAAUUGGUUUGUUAGACAAAUAUAGAAUUAGUCUUCGUUUCCAUCAUCCUGAAUUGAACUAUCAUAUAACUAUAGUUGAAGAUAUGUAUGUUAGAAUGUUGAUAAAUGUAAUCAAAUGUAGUGAAGGAAGGGCUGUGAAAGUGUUUGUGGUGGUUGAUGAAGGAGAUUUGGUUAAUGAGGCUGGUCAAUUUCAUAGUGUUGAUGAUGUUAAUGAGGUUGGUAAUCUAUGCAAUUAUAAAUGGAGCAACGAUCCGAUAAGUACUUUCAAUACUCCCAGUGUACCUCAAUUUCAUAGUGUUGCUGAAAAUGUUAAUGGUAGUUAUUCACCUAUUAACUAUGUGGACCUGAGAAUUNUACAAGUAUGUUGGUGAUGAUGAUGUUGGUACAUAUCUUAAUGACGUGGGUGGUCGUUGUUUUGAUGUUCCCGAACAAGAAGUUAAAGUUAUGAAUAGGCGUGUAGUAGAUAAAAGUAAAAAGAAAAAAAAAUAUGCGUCAAAAGAUGAAAAAAAGCAUGUUUAUGGGGAUUAUGUUGAUAUUGUUGAUGUAGGUUUAGAUAUAACCGAAUUAAAAAAACAAUUCAGAUGGAGAUGAGUUGGGUGAUGAAUUCAAAGUUAAGUUUCCCGAUAACCUUUUUUACGGUAUACCCCCUCUACCAGAAUGUCCAGUUGAUAUUAAUGAAGAUAUCCCAACACAGAUGGUAGACAUCAAUCUUCAAAAGAUUGAAUGUGAGAGUAUAUUUAAGAACAAAGAACUUUUAAAGCGGUGUAUUGGUAAAAAAUGUCUUCGAGAAGGUUUUCAGACGAGGAUAAGUAUAUCCACCAAAUCAAGGUAUGAGGUUGUAUGUGUUUCGAAAAAUUGUUCUUGGUUACUAAGACCGAAAGCAAUUAAAAAUUCUGAUGAACUUUUCCAAGUGAAUAAAUUUGUUGAUGUACACACAUGUUCUUCAACAAUUUUGCAACCUAAUCAUCGGCAAGCAAACAAAUAUGUUUUGGGUGAAUAUCUUGCUGAUGUUUUGGCUGAAGAUUAUAGUAGAGUUUAUCGGGGAAAAUAUAUUGUUAAUGAUAUGAAUGCUCAAUUGAAUAUCAAUAUCUCAUACCAUUAGACAUGGUGUGCGAAGCAAUAUGCAUUGUUGUCGUUAAGGGGUACGAAAGAGGAUUCUUUUACCAAACUUCCGGCUUAUUUCCACAACUUGGUCAAACAUAAUCCGGGUACGGUGACACAUAUUAAAACAGAUGGUGAUGAUCGCUUUGAGUUUUUGUACGUCGCACUUGGUUGUUCGGUUAGUAUUUAAAUAUUUUAUUAUUUUUUCCGUUUUUUUAGUGUAUUUGAAUAGAUAUAUACAAUGUAUUGUAGGUACGCGCUUUUGUCAAUUUCUAUAAACCGACCCUUGUAGUAGAUGGAGCCCACCUAAAGGGCGAGUUCAAAGGAACCAUGUUACUUGCAGUUACCAAGGACGGACAAAACCAAAUAUUACCGGUUGCAUAUGGUAUCUGCAAAAAUGAGUGUACAGAUUUUUAGACAUUGUUUUUUCAAAAACUACGUGAUUGCAUAGGCAAUAUGUAGGAGCUUACAAUUAUAUAUGAUAGGUCUCCAUCUAUAGCAACAUCCGUUGCCAACAUUUUUCCUCACGCUCAUCACGGAAUAUAUGGUGUCCAUUUGUAUUUCAACAUAGUAUCUAGAUUCGGGAAGAGUAACACAGUUAAAGGAAUUUUUUGGGAGGUUUGUAGGGCGUACACAGUUGAUGCUUUUAACGCUGCCAUGGAUGUUAUGAAAAAGACAAAAGAACGAGUAUGAGAGUACUUAAAAAGUAUAAAUCCAGAAACUUAGUCUAGGGCACAUUUUAGAGGGAACCGAUACAAUCUAAUGUCGUCCAACAGUGAAGAGUCUAUAAAUGCAUUAUCGAGACACGCACGUAAGGUGCUAAUACUUAUAUUGAUCGAUUUUUUUUUCGUGCAACAACAAUCCGUCCCCUUGUAAACGAGGGGCGGAACCAAAUACGGUAUCUCUAAAUAUAUCACGUCUGACACCAUCUAACACUUCAAAUACUUCCCAUAUAUUACACCCCGAUCUUUUUAAGUUUACAAUUGCUUUCACAUUGAAAUUAUUAUAAUCAUGUUGCACAAAACACAAUAACAUAUUAGAGAACUAAACAAAUAUUUCAUUUUAAAAUAUAUGAUUAUUAAGUGGAAUAAUAACAUAAACAAUAAUAACAAUGCAAAUACAAAUAUUUAAUAAAUAAUUUAUAUAUUUAUGCUAAAAAACAAUAUCAUAUUAUAACAGUUUUUCAACUUAAACGACAAAUAUAUAAACAAUUUUUCAAGUUAUACGACAAAUAUACAAACAAUUUUUAACUUUCAAAUUAUAUAAAAUAACAUUUUCUAACCAUAUAAACAAACAAUUUUUCAACUAAAACGACAACUAAAUUAACAAUUUUUCAAGUUAUUCGACAAAUAUACAAACAAUUUUUAACUUUCAAAUUAUAUAAAAUAACAUUUUCUAACCAUACUAUAAAAUCUUUUCUACUAAAACAACAAAUAUAUACAAAAUUUCAAGUUAUACGACAACUAUACAAACGACUAUUGUACACAUAUUAUAAAAUUUUCUAACCAUACUAUAAAAAAAUUUAUACUUCACCAACAAAUAUAUACAAAUCUUCAACUUAUACGACAAAUAUAUAUACAAACGACUAUUCUAUACAUACUGUAAACAUUAUUUUAACCAUUUUUCAAUUUAUAAAGACAAUUACACGAUAAGAAUAUACAAAUUUUCAAGUUAUACAACAACUAUACAAACGACAAAUAAUAUAUUCUAACCAUGCUAUAUCAAUUUAUCAAAUUAAACCACUAACCAAAACAUUAUGUAAACAUUAUUCUAACAAUUUAUUUAACUAAUAAAUUAAAAAAAUUAGCAUAUUCUAACCAUUUUACUAAAUGUACAACCACCCGAUGCACACUCUACACAGUCUCUACUUAUACAUUCAUACGACUACUAACAAAAUAGCAUUUAAACUUCAAGUUUACUAAUAACAAAUAUUAAAACUAUCAAAUACAACAAACUUACCCUAUCACAAACAAUAUAAUUUCAUUUUUUUACACUAACUAAUAAAAUAAAUAAUAAAAUAAUAAAGACAUAUACUAAAUAAAUGUUAAUUAAAACAUAAAAAGAGUUAAAAUCUAACCAUACUUGCGGGAUUAUUGAAAUAAUCCUCAAUUUUCUUCAAAAAAUCGUCAAAAGGAAUCCCCGAGAGAGAAAGUUUUUCUGUAUUGAAAAGUGAAAAAUGAAGAAAAAAAACGUUUUAUAGAGUUUUCAGUAGAAAAUCGCAGAUGAACAGUGCAAAUCGCAGAUGGAAAGCCAAAAUCGCAGAUGGGGCUUUUCCAUCUGCGAAUCCAGUGGUUAUUUUUGCAAUUUCGAUUUUUUUUUGCUAAAAUUGUAAGAUGAUUAGUGUAUUUGGCUAAUUUUGUCAUUUUCUCUUUAUUUUUCCCUGCUUUCCAGUUUAAUGGAUAUCAUUGUCAUGUAAAACACAAUUACCAAAGGGCUUGUAGCCCAGCGGUAUCAGGUGGUGUCCUCCCUCUUUUAGGUCGAGGGUUCAAGUCUCGUUGUGGACAUAGAUGGAAUAGGUGUUGUUAGCUUAGGAGUAGAUUAGAUUUGUCGGUUCAAAAAAAAAAUGUAAAACACAAUUAAUGAUGAAUAAAUCGAUUUGGACUGAUUCUUUUUUACCAAUGAAAUGGGUCAUAAAAAGUGAAAACUAAAACCGACAAUUCUAACCUUUGUUAAACAAUUUGAUUACAAAACCUCUGAUUUGGUGAAACGAAAUGUAGUCUGGUGGCAAAAGUUAUCCAAUGAUUUCAAUUUCUAUCUACAUAAUUCAAAAGACCAGAAAAUUGUAAUCAGCAAAUUACCAAAAAAAUUCAAUAAGUUAAAGGUUUAAUAGUUAUUAUAUGUGGUUGAAAGAAAGAAAAAUCGAUGAUAAAAAAACAAAAGUUUGCUCACCAAGACUAGGGAUCUCCAUAGGAGGUGGACGGCUCUUAUUUUUUGGUCCCACUUGUUCAGGUAUACUUGUGGGGACAAUGGCUACAUAAGUUUCUAUCUAGGGAUGGAAAUGGGGCGGGGUUGACCAUCCUUGUCCCCAUCUCCGAGUGUCUAACAUCGUCUCCAUCCUCAUCCCUAUCCCCGACGGAUGCGGGGAAUCAAAUUUCCUCCCCUUUGUAUUUUGGGCUUCUCCCCAACUGAUCCCCGACCCAUCCUCAAUCUAUCAACAUAAUAAACUCAACUUAAAAAAAAAUUAAUUAAUUAUCAAAACCAUAUCUCAUAAUUAGAUUCUGUUUAUAUCAAUCAUAAAAUUUUAACAAGCAUCAAAACCAAAAUCAACAAUUUGAUACACAGAUCGUCGAACAAAGUGACGAUUGAUAAACUCUUGGAUAUGGAAACAUAAUUUGGUAUAUAGACUCUAUCUCUGAUGGUCUAAUAUAGAUCAAAUCAUUUUAGUGGGCUUAAUUUAAAUUCAAUAAAUGAUCGAUAUACUAAGUGGGGGCGGGGCGGGUUGGGGAUUGUUNCAUCAAAGUGGGGGCGGGGCAGGUUGGGGAUUGUUAUACCCGGCCCCAUCCCCAUCCCCAGUUUUAGCAUAAUGGGAUCCCUAACUCCGUACCCGGUACCCGUUUUGACAGGGAAUACCUGUCCCCGAUUGGGGCGGGUUAACCGGGUUCCCCACCGGGUCGGUAAAAUUUCCAUCCCUAUUUCUAUCUAACAUGGUGAAAUUAUUUCAGCCAAAGUUGUUAAAAUCGUGAACUUAUUUAAGAUCCUUUUUUACUUUGCAAAAUCAUAAUCAUAAAAUCGAAUCGGGAUCGUAAGAUUAUAUACACACACACACACACUCACUAGACAUCUACCCGCACAAAGCAGUGGCGGCAAAUAGUUUCAUUCGACAAUUAGUUUCUUUCGAUAAUUAGUUCGAUUCGAUAAUAUGUUAUAUUUCAAGGAACACAAAAUCGAUACAUAAUGUUAUCAGUCGGUUUUACGGCAAAAAUAGUUUCCUUUCGUCAAAUAGUUUAUUUUGGCGAUUAUAUUCAUUUCAACGAUUAAUUUCUAUAAGGAAACACAUCACCUUCCAAAGAGCAUGCAAUGUAUCGAAAUGUGUUUUGCAUCCCACAAAGACCGGGCACAUUGUUAUGGUAUGCUCAUGAUUAUCCCAAAUAUCAGUUUGAGGUUUGCUAACUUUUUUUUAUUAAUAAUAUCAUUCUUGAAAUUAUAUCAAGUAUCCAACUAAACAUCAUUCAUGUAGCUACACUUAGUCCCACUAACUACUUCAUGAUUCGUAGGAUAACUCAUAGCAAUUCUUGUUGAAAGUUGUAUGAAUUUACCAUAAAAAACGUAAUUGAUAACCAUUGUAAAGAAGAUAAAAAAAUUUCUAUUUCUAUAAAGAAUAGCUAACCAUAAAUUUUGUAAAAGUAGCAUUAUCAAAUAAAACAAUUAUAAAUAUUGAUUCCUAUUGCUAUUAGUGUGAAUUGAGGCAAUCCCCAUUAAAAACAAUGGAUUUGUCGAGCCAAAUAAGAACAAUGGCAGUAUAUAUAGAAAAAGUUAAGUUUAGCAAUUGGAAUUCAAACCUAUCUCAAGGGCCAAAUUGUCAAAAUCAUGGAAAAUAUUUAUUACUCAACCGAAUUUAAGUUAUAGACAAACCACGAGCAACUCUAUAUAAUGUCCUCAAAUCCAAAUCAACAUCAAGGACAAACUCGUCCAGUUAAGGGAAAAUUUACAUUACUAAACCAAUUCAGCCAUAAUCAAAACAGUAACAUCAAAAAUUACAAGUAAGCAUCAACUGUACGUAAAUUUCCAAAACAAUUUUUUAUUUUUAAACCAUACUUUUAAUCAUCAAACAGUAUUAAAACAUAAAGUAUCCAAUGUCAUCAUCACAAAAACAAUUCCCAGAAUCUCAAACAUAAUCUCUAUGAGUGUGUACAGGUCAUGUCGGCGUUUUCCCGUGAUCCUCGCUAGUACCUGAAACACAUAACACAACAACUGUAGGCAUAAAUGCUUAGUGAGUUCCCCAAAAUACCGCAUACAACACAUACGCCUUUCCAGGCCAUAACUCUGUGGGACCUUCCGGUCCAAGUAUCUCAAGGGACUUCCGUCCCAAAUCCCGGUUGACCUUCCGGUCCUACCCGUAUUGACCUUCCGGUCCAUGUCCUCUUGACCUUCCGGUCCAUAUCAUCUUGACCUUCCGGUCCUUUUCAUACAUAACACAUACAUAUCACAUAUCAGCAUAUAUAACACAUAUAAGACCUUCUGGUCACACAUAAGUACCCUUCCAGGUACAGUAUAGUGAGAAGACUCACCUCAAUGAAGUCGAAUAACUCUCGUGCUCAACGUCCCGACCUAGCCUCCUCCUACCAUUCAAAUAACAUCCCCGGUGAAUACUCUCUCAUAGUCUCAUCUUUAAAGAUUGGGUAGAAGGUCAUUCUACCCCUUCCUGAACUCUCUUGAAUCAGUCUUGACCAGAACCCUAAGGUCAACGAAAUUCAAUGGUCAAACUUUGACCCGAAUCGUCGAGUACACAUGGGCGACCCGACGAGUCCAUGCGGGUCCUCUGAACCCUUCCAACCUCUCUUGUCUUGUCGAGUCAUCCUUCCACUCGACGGGUUCCUCCUGUCACGAAUCGCGGGGCAACCCCGACUCGACUCGUCGAGUCCACUUAUGAACUCGGCGAGUCGCUUCUAUGGCCACACUCAAAUGACCUUCUAAGGUCAGAUCUGCUUCUCUAAUCUAUAGAUUUAAUCUUCCCAAGCAUGAUAAUCAUGUAAAGGUCGAAUAUUGGUACACAUGCAACACACCCAAAGCUUCUUUUGGUGAAAUAACCUCUAAAAUGGCCUCCUAGGCUCAUAACUCAAAAGGUAUGGCAUAAAGCAAAGUGGUAAGGACUCUCUGGACCUCUUAAGGUCCAGAUCUAUGAACCAACUCGCUUUGGGACCUCACAUACUCCAGAUUCAACUAAAAGAAGCAUAAAGAAAACCCUAGAUUUCACUAGAAUCAUUAUGAACAUGAGAAUGACACAGAUUAUUACCUCCAACAUCUUCCUCUGACCAAAUAGAAAUGGAUCCAAGCUCCUCAACCCGCCUAGCUUGUUCUACCUCCUUCCUUCUUGCUAAAACACACAAGAAAUGGUGAAUUAGCCUUCUUCUUGCACCACAAAUGAUCUCUAUGCUCUCUAGGGUUUUCAGGGGAGUAAUGGCCGGAAAUGGAGGCCAUAAAGGCCUUUAAAUAGGGCACAGUCGCACAGACCCCGAGAAUUAGGGUUUCAUUCCACAAUGCGAACUCGUCGAGUCCACCUUGCCGACUCGUCGAGUCCGUUCAUUAAUCUAGUCAGCAAGUCGCGGUCCUACUCGACGAGUCCACGACUCGACUCGUCGAGUCCCUCUCUUUACUAAAAAAAAUUGAACAUAAUACUUGAAACUCCAGGUGUUAAAAUUCUCCCCCACUAGAAUCAGACUUCGCCCCCGAAGUCAUGAUCCGCAAACAACUCUGGAUGCUACUCCCGCAUCUCCAACUCCGGCUCCUAAGUCAGCUCGGACCCUUUCCGAUGUUGCCACUGGACCUGAACCAGGGACACCUCCUUGUUCCUCAAAACCUUGAUCUUCCAAUCCCGAAUCGUGAUUGGCCUCUCAACAUAAUUUAGGUUCGCAUCCACCUAAAUAUUCUCCAGCGGCACUACCGCCGACUCGUCGGCUAUACACUUCCUCAACUGAGACACGUGGAAGGUAUCAUGAAUCUGACUCAACUCCGUAGGUAGCUCCAACCGAUAUGCUACCAUGCCUACCCUCGCAGUCACCCUGAACGGCCCAAUAUACCGGGGCCCCAGCUUGCCCCUCUUCCUAAAACGAAUCACUCUUUUCUGUAACGCCCGCAAAUCUGGGCUAGUCAAAUUAGAGGCAAUAGGGGUCGAAAACGACUUUUUGACAAAAGAUUAUUUAGAAUAAANGGUCGAAAACGACUUUUCGACAAAAGAUUAUUUAGAAUAAAUAAUCUUAACCAAGUUGUAGAGUAUGUUACAAGGUUUUCGUACAUAUAAAGAACGCCGAAAACCGAGUUAUAACGAAGAAGUUAUGACCCGUUGAAGUUUCGCGACGGAACCGGCACGAUACCGGGAAGCGUAAAUAGUGAAUUUACGAUAGAGCGAGAUUUAGACUUAGUGAUCUAAACGAAAUUCGUAGAAUAUGUUAAACUAAGAACAUCGAUAAAAGGAACGCCCAAAUCUGACUUCGUAUGAGGAAGUUAUGAUUUUUCUAAGAUUUAGCAUAGCAGUGCACAGCCCGAAAUCUGAAUUUUAGAUCGGUCGAUUUUUAGCCGACGGGAUCUAAAUGAAAGUUGUAGUACUCGUAAAUACCAACGCGUGGAUAUAAAGAACGUCGAUAAUAGAGCUCGUAUGCAAAAGUUAUGGACGAAGCUUAGUCCCUACUUUUCGAGCGCGGCGAAUUCGAUACAGUUUUGUAAAUACGAGAUAAAAUGAGAAUUAGCCAACGAGGUCUAAAUGAGAGUUGAAGAUCUCAUUAAUAGGAACUCAACGGUAAAAAGACAGACAAAAAUGGAGCUCGUAUGCGAAAGUUAUGGACGAAGCUUAGUCCCUACUUUUCGAGCGCGGCGAAUUUGAUACAGUUUUGUAAAUCCGAGAUAGAAUGAGAAUUAGCCAACGAGGUCUAAAUGAAAGUUGAAGAUCUCAUUAAUAGGAACUCAACAGUAAAAAGACAGACAAAAACGGAGCUCGUAUGCAAAAGUUACGGACGAAGCUUGGAGACUACUUUACUAUACACUUCCUAUAAAUACAAGGGUGAACUCCUCAUAUUUUCUUCACACCAUAAGCCUUUCUUUCUCUCUCUAACUUCUCUCUAACCUCCCUAAACCCCUCCCAAGUCUAGGGAACCUCCCUAUCACGAGAAGAAAGCCCCGGAGCGCCCGACGGCUCCGAGAAGAAAAGCUUUCGGCUCGGAAACGCUGCUCCAGCGAAGCCCGGUUUUUAAUAAAAACCCGCUGUAAGUGAGCUACGCCUAUAGUAUAUUUAAUAUAGAUUUUAUUUAAUUAUAGUAACAUUGUUAGGACCUUAAAAUAAUUAUUUAGGCUAUUAUUAUGAGUUAUAUUGAGUGUUAUUUAACGCUUAUAUAAUAGUAAUAAUAGCUAGACUAUUAAAUUAGUCUCGUCAAGCGUUAGACUAAACUCUAGUGGUAAUGAUACUAGGUUUCGUCAAGGGAUAAUUGUUUUAAGAGUAACGAAGUGCUGUCCGAGUGCCGACUCACCACCUUUCAGGUGAGUGCAUAGUCCCUUUCAUCUUACACAUAGAUAUGAAGUAUUUUAUAUAAACUACGUGCUAUGUGUGCACAUUAUCUGAAUACUUGCUGUCUAUGCUGGUUGAACGUUUUAUACAUGUUUUAAAGGACUUAAACUGUAUACGUAUUUUAUAUAUACGAAAAUGUUGGGUAUGAGAUGGGUAGAUGAAUGAUGAGAGAUAGAAGAUGACGUGAGUAUACAUUGGCAGCUAUAGACUUAGUGCCUAUGGGACAAACACCGGUAGCUAUGGACUUAGUACCUUUUAGACGUUGGUAGCUAUGGAUUUAGUACCUGUUGGGAAUUGGUAGCUAUGGACUUAGUACCUAUUAGUUAGACGCUGGUAGCUAAGGAUUUAGUACCUGUAGGAAUUGGUAGCUAUGGACUUAGUACCUGUUGAACAUUGGUAGCUAUGGACUUAGUACCUAUUAGAUAAAGACUGGUAGCUAUGGAUUUAGUACCCGAUGAAUAGACUAUAGCAGCUAUGGAAUUAGUGCUUUAUGAACGAACAUUGGCAGCUAUGGAUUUAGUGCCAGUCCCAUAACCCUGGAAGUAAGGGACUUCGGAAUAAACGAAUGCAGGAUAGAUGACUCUUAGGUUAAAUCCUUAAAGAGUAAAGAAGAUAAUGGGGAUGGGUAAUUGGGUUGAUUGUUUGAUUGAACAUAAUAAUUAUAUUAUUGUGGGUUGAAAACCCUAUGUACUCACCAGGUUUCCCAACCUGACCCACUCAGUUUAUGUAUAUCACAGGUGACGAAGUGAAGUGACAUUACACUGAGAGAUUUAAAAGAGAUGUAGAUCACUAGUGUAAAUCAUUGUAAUUCUGUUUAUGCUUAUGUUUCGGUAUUAACGAUGACAUCCCAAACAUUUUAAAAUGAAAUAAAUACGUUUCUUCGAAAAUGUUUUAAUAACGUAUUUACCAUGUUUUUCUGGGAACAAAUUCCGCAACCUUUUUAUAAAAUGAAGUACUCUGAUUUUUAUAAAGCAUAAACAAAAUCGGUCUUUUCUGGCCGUGAUUUUGGGGAUGUCACAGUUGGUAUCAGAGCAUUAGUUUAAGCGAACUAGGAAUAUGGAUUUAUUUCUAGACUUAAACUUAGAAUGCUAAGCGAUGAUUGUGAGGUGUGAGCACUAGCUUAUUUUAGGAAUUGUGCCUAAAAUGCUUUUAUGUGCUAAAUGCUUUGUGCAUGAUAUGUUGUUAAUUGUUCGGAUCUAUGGUCUGUUGCCGACCGGAUCUGGAAACCUUAUGUGUUUAGGAUUCUAAACGUACGACUACGGUAUUAGAACUAGCAUGUAAAUGUUUCGGAGUGAUAAGGAUGAUUUAAACGUCAAGUAAAGGUCUAAAUUCACCUUAUUCGGUGUAUAGAUCGAGAUGGUAAGGACCCGUAGCGGAAACGUAAACGCAAAUGGGAACAGGAACCAACCCCCAGUGGUUCAGCAAAUACCUGUUGUAGAAGAAGUUGCGCCUGAGCCAGUCACCAUGGCUGGAGUUCAAGCCAUGAUUCGGGCUAUGUUGGCUGAACAAAGGGAAGAAAUGAGACGGAUGUUGAAUAGGGACGAACCUACUAUGCCCAUUGAGCAACCCGAACUGAUUCCCGAGCAAUCUGAGGAAGGGAACUACAGCCGCCAAGUGAGUCAAGUUGGGACUCAAGGUGAGCAAAGGGAUGGCCCAGAAGGGAGAAACAACAAGGAUGGGCGGAUGUACAAGAACUUCUUGGGUGCGAAACCACCAAGCCUCUCAGGAAGCCCAAAGCCGGUUGAGGUUAUGGAUUGGAUCUCUGAGAUGGAGAUGGUGUUUGAGAGCUGCAGCUGUAAUGAGAAACAGAAGACUGUCUUUGCAGUAAGACAGCUGAAAACUGGAGUCUUGAGCUGGUGGAAGCUAUUGGCAGAUACGAUGCCACGAGGAGAAGCCUUAAGGAUGUCGUGGGAAGAGUUUUUGGAACAGUUGAAAAUGCAGUACUGCUCGGAGGUAGAUCUGAUAGACCUAAACAACGAGUUUCAGAACCUGAAGAAAGGGAAGAUGAGUGUUGAUGAGUAUGCCACCGCAUUUACCGAGAGGAUGAAGCUAUUUCCCUACUUGGUGCCUACUGAACUCUCCAAGAUUGAUAGGUUUGCUAACGGACUGCCCACUGACUUUGGUCCAAUGGUCAAAAUGGCAACUACCUUAAAAGCAGCUAUUAGGGCAGCUAAGAACGUAGAGGCCCAGAUAAGAGAAAAGGGUCUAGAAAAAGAUAAGGCAGGAGAGAAGCGAAAGUUUGAGGGAUCUUCGAGGUCGAACAAGGAAAGCAAAUUCUCAAAACUCGGAGGAGCAGAUGGAGGUGAAACAAGAUGGUGUGAUAAAUGCAAGAAGAAGCAUGGUGGGAAGUGCAACGAAGAAGUGACUUGUUACAAGUGUGGGAGGACGGGUCACUAUUCCAAAGACUGCACACAUAAUGACAAAGUAUGCUACGGAUGUGGAGGCAAGGGGCACAUGUCCAGAGACUGCCCAAGGAAAAAUAAAGCAGCAAGACCAGAAACGCCACCAAGGCCAAGGGCAUUUCACAUGAUCCUCGACGAAGCAGAGAACCAUGCGAGGAAUCAAGAAUGAGGACUUCUUACCCGAAGAUCGGAUUAUGCAGUAGCCAUAGUUUCGUAUGAUGUAGCCUAGUAGAGGCAUAGUCUAGGGUGAACUUGAACACCUAUGUAAUCGUUUCAAGAAUUAAUAUAAAACCUUCGUUUUGUUAUCUGAUGUGUUGAAUGAUUGUGUGAUUUGCUGCAUGGUGACUUGGGAAACUGCGAGACAAUACUUGGGACGAGUAUGAGUAGGUGUGAAUGGUAGUAGAGGCCUAUACUACCGGAAGCACAGGACUCACACUUGGAUCAGGGAAAGUCACAAGGUUACCAAGAAGCUAGUAAUUGAUUUCGUUUUAUUCAAGUGUGUUGUUACCAUCGUUUCGGUAAUGACUAAGAAGAUUGUUGAUAUUCCGACCCUAGUGGUCAUAUCGAAUCGAGUCCGACUACGAUGAGUAUGUUGUGUGGUUCAGAGAACCAAGUUUGAUGUAGCGUCCGACUUAAACCAAACGGUUGAAAUCAAAGCGAUCAAUAGAAGUAUCGCACUCGUUGUUAAAGAAGUUGGUGGCUAGAAAUGCCUAAUGUUAAAGUGUGAUUAUAUCACAUUAGAACAUGAAGGAAGGCAUAGUCUGUUUUAGAAUUUAACUCUAAGAGACCUAAGUCUAAGUGUUGCAACAUACGAUGAUAGGUCAUUAGAAUAUGACACAUCGAUCUAUAGUAGUAAUAAAAGAACUUAUCUCAAGUCCGUAUCCAGCAAGGAUCGAGAUUGUGACUUGAAGGUCAUAAUUUGGAGUCUAACCUGAGGUGGAGAGCAGGUGCACGAUCGAGUACUCUUACAGUCAAUGAGUUUAAGAGAUAGAAUUGAAGGAAUGUAGAAGUUAUAAUUAUUUCCUAGGAUGAAGAGAUGACGUAUGGAGUCAUUAUACGACCAUGUUUCAUUGAUGAUUCCGGGACGUAAUCAUCCUAAGGGGGAGAUAAUUGUAACGCCCGCAAAUCUGGGCUAGUCAAAUUAGAGGCAAUAGGGGUCGAAAACGACUUUUUGACAAAAGAUUAUUUAGAAUAAAUAAUCUUAACCAAGUUGUAGAGUAUGUUACAAGGUUUUCGUACAUAUAAAGAACGCCGAAAACCGAGUUAUAACGAAGAAGUUAUGACCCGUUGAAGUUUCGCGACGGAACCGGCACGAUACCGGGAAGCGUAAAUAGUGAAUUUACGAUAGAGCGAGAUUUAGACUUAGUGAUCUAAACGAAAGUCGUAGAAUAUGUUAAACUAAGAACAUCGAUAAAAGGAACGCCCAAAUCUGACUUCGUAUGAGGAAGUUAUGAUUUUUCUAAGAUUUAGCAUAGCAGUGCACAGCCCGAAAUCUGAAUUUUAGAUCGGUCGAUUUUCAGCCGACGGGAUCUAAAUGAAAGUUUUAGUACUCGUAAAUACCAACGUGUGGAUAUAAAGAACGUCGAUAAUAGAAUACAUACCAGUCACGACAUCGGACGCUGUGCGGACCUCCUCCGUUGUCAACUGGAAGGCUCUAUCGCGAGCCUUCGGUGCCUCGGCCUUCAUCGGCCGAACCUCAGUAGCUCGCAUGGCGGUAUGGGAAGAUCCCUGCGGUGCUCCAUGUGCUGUCCCCCGCAGUUGCGUACACUCGGCCUUCUGAUGGCUUGUCUGGUUGCAAUGAAAGCAAAACAUGAAUCCCUUGGGGCAAUGCUUGGCGAUAUGUCCCUCCUUGCCACAUUUGUAGCAAGAACCCGAUCGACAAACCCCCUCAUUUCCCUUUCCGCACUUUCCGCAAGUGUGGCCCUUUUGGCCUCCAGAUCUCGAAUCGGCGAGCUUUCCCCGCUUGGCUGCCGGCUGAGACUGUGCCGGUCGCCGAUCCAUUCCCCAGGACUCGGCCUCCUCCCUGGCCUUAGUCUCCAACUCAAUCUCCCUCUUUCGGGAAUUUUCCUGGAGCUCGGCAAAUGUCCGGUAAGUCGAGUUCGAUACGAGCUCCUGAAUAUCCCUCCUCAGAAUGCCCAAAUACCGGCUCAUGCAUGCCUGCUCAGUAGACACUUGCUCAGGGCGGAACAUCGCCCUCUCAUGAAACUUCCUGGUAACCAUAGUAACAGAAUCAGUACCCUGCUUGAGGGUCAAGAACUCCUGAGCCAACCGUUCCCUCUCCACUGGGGGAACAUACUCAUCUCUGAACAUGGUGGUGAACCUCUCCCAGGUCACCUCUGAAAUCUCUGUAGGAGCGAAGGUCGCCAUCACGAACUUCCACCAGUCAUUCGCCCCCAAGCGAACCGUGCUCUCAAAUGCUCUGGACACGAGCAGGUAUAGAAACAUCCCUCAAUAUCAGCAAUCCAUCUCAUCGCAGCGAUCGGAUCCUGCAUCCCAUCGAACUCUGGUGGCUUCGUGCUGCUGAACUCUCGGUACAGCAACGAGUCACCCCCUGUGGCCUGGCCGCAGCGACGGUUGCGGUGGCCGCAGCAACAACAGCAUCAGUAAGAGUGGCGUACCGCUCAUCGAAAGUCUCGAUUAACGUGGUCUUGAUAGACCCGAACAUCUCUGGUAUCUCAGCUCAGAUGGCCGCAACCACCUCCUCAUGAAUCAACCUACGGAUCUCCUCAUCACUAACACCACUGCUCUCCGGUGUGUGGCGUGUCCCAACCAUGAUGUCUCUCUGAAAUACAACAUAAAAUAUCAGAGAUCCGCUCGAGCGUACUUGCACUCGAUAACACAACCUUACUUGUCCCCCUAGUGCCCUGAGGAUUCUUACUUGGACUGCAUACUGAUACGGUGUCUUCGGUAGUACGGGCCCUUAUACUACCGUCCACACCGCGUCAGUAUUCACCCCAAGUUCCCCUCCUUGGAUCCCAGUUCACAAGUACUCUAUAUCUCGCUAGCAUAGGCCACCCUUCGGUAGACCUCUCAUAAGCUCCUCACUGCUACCUACUCACCCUCGAGCAUCUAGUAGCAGCAGAAAUCCUCCUAGGCUAAGGCAUCACAAUCAGGCAACUCUAGUCCUAAUAUGAAUACCUAUCCUACUCUAGCAUGAGUAUCAUAUCAUAACAUAUCUCAUAACACAUAAUGUAAGGGUAUUUGGGGAAAUCACCGUUCGGGCACUGGCUGAUCGUACACACUGCUCCGUUCUGCCUUUCUCAAAAUCUUUUACUCUCUUGGAAAAAUUGUUUAUUUUAUGAAAAAAUUUCUCAAAUCCUCAGUUUGAGUUCAGAUACACCAGAAGAUGCACCCGAAUCCCUCAAACCAAGGCUCUAAUACCAACUUGUAACAACGUAAAUUUCCAAAACAAUUUUUCAUUUUUAAACCAUACUUUUAAUCAUCAAAAAAUAUCACAACAUAAAGUAUCUAAUGUCAUCAUCACAAAAACAAUUCCCAGAAUCUCAAACAUAAUCUCUAUGAGUGUGUACAUAUCAUGUCGGCGCCUUCCCGCGAUCCUUGCUAGUACCUGAAACACAUAACACGACAACUGUAAGCAUAAAUGCUUAGUGAGUUCCCCAAAAUACCACAUACAACACAUACGCCUUUCCAGGCCAUAACUCUGUGGGACCUUCCGGUCCAAGUAUCUCAGGGGACUUCCGUCCCAAAUCCCGGUAGACCUUUUGGUCCUACCCGUAUUGACCUUUCGGUCCGUAACCUCCUGACCUUCCGGUCCAUGUCCUCUUGACCUUCCGGUCCAUAUCAUCUUGACCUUCCGGUCCUUUUCAUACAUAACACAUACAUAUCACAUAUCAUCAUAUAUAGCACAUGUAAGACCUUCUGGUCACACAUAAGUACCCCUCCAGGUACAGUAUAGUGAGAAGACUCACCUCAAUGAAGUCGGAUAACUCUCGUGCUCAACAUCCCGACCUAGCCUCCUCCUACCAUUCAAAUAACAUCCCCGGUCAAUACUCUCUCAUAGUCUCAUCUUUAAAGAUUGGGUAGAAGGCCAUUCUACCCCUUCCUGAGCUCUCUUGAAUCAGUCUUGACCAGAACCCUAAGGUCAACGAAAUUCAAUGGUCAAACUUUGACCCGAAUCGUCGAGUACACAUGGGCGACCCGACGAGUCCAUGCGGGUCCUCUGAACCCUUCUAGCCUCUCUUGGCUCGUCGAGUCAUCCUUCCACUCGACGGGUUCCUCCUAUCACGAAUCGGGGGGCAACCCCGGCUCGACUCGUCGAGUCCACUUAUGAACUCGGCGAGUCGCUUCCAUGGCCACACUCAAAUGACCUUCUAAGGUCAGAUCUGCUUCUCUAAUAUAUAGAUCUGAUCUUCCCAAGCAUGAUAAUCACGUAAAGGUCGAAUCUUGGUACACAUGCAACACACCCAAAGCUUCUUUUGGUGAAAUAACCUCUAAAAUGGCCUCCUAGGCUCAUAACUCAAAAGGUAUGGCAUAAAGCAAAGUGGUAAGGACUCUCUGGACCUCUUAAGGUCUAUAUCUAUGAACCAACUCGCUUUGGGACCUCACAUACUCCAGAUUCAACUAAAAGAGGCAUAAAGAAAACCCUAGAUUUCACUAGAAUCAUUAUGAACACGAGAAUGGCACAGAUUGUUACCUCCAACAGUUUCCUAUGACCAAAUAGAAGUGGAUCCAAGCUCCUCAACCUGCCUAGCUUGUUCUACCUCCUUCCUUCUUGCUAAAACACACAAGAAAUGGUGAAUUAGCCUUCCUCUUGCACCACAAAUGAUCUCUCUGCUCUCUAGGGUUCUCAGGGGAGUAAUGGCCGCAAAUGGAGGCCAUAAAGGCCUUUAAAUAGGGCACAAACUCCGAGAAUUGGGGUUUUAUUCCACAACGCGGACUCGUCGAGUCCGUUCAUUAAUCUAGUCAGCAAGUCGCGGUCCUACUCGACGAGUCCACGACUCGACUCAUUGAGUCCCUCUCUUUACUAAAAAAAAUCGAACAUAAUACCUGAAACUCCAGGUGUUACAUCUACUUUUGGUUCAUUGGGCAUCAAAAUAGCCAUGGAUCCUGCAACAAUAAAUUAUUGUAUAUGAUGCAAACACCUACUCCAAACUCGCAAAAGAAACCUCAAGAUCUGAUGUGCACACAUCUCAAAAUCGUAACAUUAAUUGAUAAGGGGUUUACCUACUCAAAUGAGUACAUCAUUUUACACUCACAUAAAAACAAUAAUAGUAACUUCAUGAGGGAGAGUUCUAGCGGGGUGAGAUCCUUAUUGAUUUUCGAUCAGAGAAUGCGUUUUUGAGUGAAUAUCAAGAGCGGUUUGGGUUCUAUUUAAAUCACAUGAAAACAUAAUUUGGAGGUAAUAAGUUUUAAGAUAAUAGGAACACCAAUUAUUAAUAAAUGAACAUCAAUUAGUUUACCCUUUACAUAACAACCAAGUUCACCCUUUACAUCACAUGCAUCCUGUAUUGUUUUAAGUUUUAAGAUAAUAAAAACAACAAUUGACAACAUUGAUGAUAAAUAUAAAUCAAAACAGGAAAAGAAAAUGCAAUGAAAAAGAUUAAGAAAGGAAAAAAUAAAUCAAACCUAGUGGCAUAUUUGACCCAUUCCUGCACUGGAUAGAAAAUCAAAAUAAUACAAAAUUUCAUUUAGAGCUCGUGAAAAGGGUCGAAAAAUUCAAACAAAAUGAAGCACCAUAUUUUUGUCCUUGUUCUUGUUCCUCUUCAUGACUAAAAUUUUCAUUCCAACACCUCCGUUCGGUUCACCUUCCUGUCACACUCAUCGAAGACUCAAAACACCUUGCCGACUAGAAAAGAAUAAGUAUAUAUGGCGGAGAAGGGAGACAUAUCGUGGCAGGUGACAUGUUUUUAAUGAGAAAGAGAAAAUGAGGUCCAAUGGAACAACACAAAUCUAAUAAAGAAAGAAAGAAAACCAGAAAAAAAGAGAUAAAGAUCAUACCUAUCUGUUGGAUUAGUGUCUAAGUCCAUAACUAUUUUGGUAUGUACUUGACCCGAUGGUGCAUGGUCCUUUUGGGUUGCCUUCACCAAAACAACUUGAUACGAUGAAUUAUGGAGAGAAAGGAUUAAAUAUGAUUUAUUAAUAUAUUAUGGGAAUAAUAUAUUAAAGGAGAAAUCAUAUUGUUUAAUUAAUAUUAGUCAAUAAUUAAUUGGUAAUUAGUUUUGUGACUAAAAGAGAUUAAUUAAACUUAAGGGACUGGAAUUGUAAUUAUAAGAUAAUUGCAAUUUGGGCCAUGGAUUGUCUUAAAUCAAAAGGUGGACGAAUUCUUAUGGGAAGCCCAUAAGGAAAUCAUCCAAGGGCUUGAUUAAAGGAGUCUAUGGGUUGCUUAGGGCUUAAGCAACCAAAUUAGGGUUUCCUUGUUAGAUAACCCUAAUAGCCACAUUAUAUAUAGAACCCUUAAGGCUCAAAAACGGGGGGAACUUCUUUUCUAGGGUUAGAAUACAUUUUGGGCAGCCUCUAACCUCUCUCCUCUUCAUCCUCUUGCUUAUGGUGUUUGUGAGCCAUUAGAGGAGUGACACUUGUGACUCUAAGCCUUCCAAAGUCAAUUCAAGGAGGAAUUGGGAUUGUUAUUGCUACAUAACAAUCAAGGUAAUAUCUUAAACCUAAUUAUAUGUUAAUAUUGAUUUCCAUAUGCUAGAAUUAGGGUUUAUAGUCUUGGAUUCAAAGCAUGUACAAUAGAGAAACCUAGAUCCAAGCAUUAGGGUUUGUAUGAGCACAUAGGAUGUCUUAUGACCAAAACCCAUCAGUGGUAUCAGAGCCUAGAUUGGUUUCAAUUGUAUUGAUGCAUUGUAUAACUGGAAAAUUCGUUUUUUGGGUUUCUGGAGGCUGGACUCGCCGAGUCCAUGGCUGAACUCGCCGAGUCCAUGCAGACUCGACGAGUCCAAGCUUGACUCGACGAGUCAACUCGUCAGAUGGAGGAUAUCUCGGGAUUUCUUGCUGUUUUUGCUUUGGGAUAGUUACCUUAUCAUAUUAGAUCAAUAUAAAUCCGAUUUUAUGAUAUAUUUGACUAUAUUCUUGAUCUAAUUGAAGAUAUUUAUCAAUUAAUAAGAUAAUUGUUUCCUUAUGUGAUAAUUGAUUAAUUAUUUUGAUUAAAUUGAUAAAUUGUUUUGCAAGAAAUCAUUAAAUAAAUCAAAUAUGGAUAAUUAUGUGAUUAAAUGUUAAUUUAAAUUAUUUGUUAUUUGAUCCUUGUUGUUAUGAAAAGUUUCAUAUUUUGCCCUUUAGGUUUUAUAGUUUAAAUUUGAACCCAAAAGUUUUGUUGUUUUGAAAUUUAAAUAGUUGAAACCCUAAUGUUUUGAAAAAGGUUUCAAAACUUGCCCUCAAGUUUUGGAAUUUAAAUUUUGAUUAAAUGUUUAAAUUUUGAUGUAUAUUUAAAUUCUAAACCCUAAUGUGUUGAAAUGUUUCAAAACUUGCCCUCAAGUUUUGGAAUUUAAAAGUUGAUUAAAAGUUUAAUUAGGAAUGUUAAAUUCUAAAACUCUAGUAUAGUUUUGAAAAAGUUCAAAUCACACCCUUAUGGUUUUAUUAAUUAAUUAAGGUGUAUAAUUAAAAGAGGUUUAAUAAAUCCAUAAAAGUUUAGGUUUACAAUUUAAUUGAAUUAAAAGUAUAAUUGUUAAAUUAGACCACCUAGUAUUUUGAAAGUAUAAAAUACACCCUAUACUAUAUAUAACAUUAAAAGUCUAACAUUAUAUAUAUGUAUGAGUAAAAGUCAGUCUUACCGUUAGUAGGCCUCAUUCACGAAGCUGGUCUAUAAGGGGUGUUUAAGGAAAUUGCCUAUAAAAUGGCGAUUGAAUGGGUAUCCACUCUUACCCACCGCACUCUUGACUAGUGGAGGGUCGUUAGCCGAACGGGUAGGAUAGGACGAAACCUUCCAUUAUAAGUAUAAUGAAUUAUUAAAGUAACUAAAUGUUUUCAUAAAAUUCCCAAUCUUAGUUACUUAGGCAAAAGUGAAUUGAUGCAAUUCCAUGAAAUUACACUUUGUGCCCUUGCGAAGACGUUAGUGGAGCGUGUGUGGUUUACCGGCACACUAAAUGGUUCUAAGCAAAGGUAGCAAAGGGUGACUCAAUGUUUGUCAUAGUUCGGUGGAGCGUGUGUGGUUUACCGGCACAUCGAAUAGGUGACUGUAACAUGUGAGGGCACCAUGUAAGUUUGCAUGGUUAUUCACACCCGCUUUGUGAUCCUCGGCAUCCCAGUCACAAACAAGAGGGGCAUAUCGAGAUUUAAACAUGCCAUUGAAAGUUCAAUGAAUCUCAAAGGAUCUAGGAGUUUUCAUAGAUUUAAAACUUAAAUUUCUUUUUCGUUUUUCAUGGUGGAAAUUAGUGAAUCGUCAUUCACUUACCUUCAAAUAUUCUGCAAUUAGGGUUACGGCAUCCCUCUCCCGAGUUGUAGAAUAUUGUGUUGGGUCCUAGCCUUAGUAUCUCAUUUGGGUGAUUUACUAAGGACUCAAUCAAUCAACUAACUUGAAUUCGUUUUCUCCCGUUUUGUAGAUGUCAAAGUUCGACAACUAUGGUCUUCCCAAAUCCCGUGGAACAAGCAUUCCACAUGAAGAUGAUAUUCCACGAUUCGAUCGAGGAACAAGAAAUCAUGCUUCACUUCCUCCUCCUCCUCCAAUUAUUCUCCCUAACCCACAAGUUCAAAGGCUUGAAAAGUUCAAGAUCACUCAAGCCCUUUUGGCAAGUAAACAUAAAGAAGGAAAGUCGGUGUGUGCACACGUCCUAGGGAUGAAGUCACACAUUGAUAGGUUAAGAAUGUUGGGAUCCGUUGUCUGUGAGGAAAUGGCUGUUGAUUGGGUUCUUCAGUCACUUCCUAACUCAUAUAGUGAGUUCGUAAGAGAGUACUAUAUGAUGAACCGCGACGUGACCCUUAUAGAUCUCACCUAUAUGCUUAUUGCUGCUGAAUCAGCAAUGGUUUGGCGCAAUAGAAAAGCAAAGUUGAUUGGUGAAUCUGCCUUCAAGACCUCUAUGGAUAUAGACAAUGGCAACGAAAGACAUGCUAUGAUCGAAAAGUUUGAUCAUAAGAGAAAGGCAAUGUCUGAAGUAGUUCCAUGUCAUGUUCCAAAAGAGUCAAUUUGCUUUUAUUGCCAAGAGAAAGGGCAUUGGAGACGAAGCUGCCCCAUUUACCUAAGAGAUCUAAGAGAUGGGAGAGUCGAAACGUAUGGCUCUAAUAUAGGUAAAAUCCAUUAACUAACUCUUUUAAGCUUCUAUUCUAGAUUCUUAAUACAUAAUGUGAUAAGAUUACAAUUGAUGUUUUGUAGGAUCGAAGAAAAGAAAGGAAGCUUAAGGGAAGAAGUGAGCAGAAUCUAACCGUGAAGGAAUGGAUUUCGAUCGCAUUUCUCGAAGAUUAGAUUCUUGAGCUACUACUUAGAGUUAGAAUUAGAUUGCUAAGAAAGAUGUAUUAGCAUAGUUUUUCAAUGAAUUGCAUUGUAAGGACAAAUUUUUUCCGCAAUAAAAUAAAUUUUGAUUUUAUAUUAUUUAUUUAUCCUUGCAAUGGCGUAUAUGAAAAAUUGAUGUUUGAAUGUUUCUAUUAUUAGCAAUAAUGGAUUUGGUUCUUAUUAUGUUAUUUAUGGAAAGUCGAGAGUUUACCAAAUAGGGAGAGUUUCUCAUCGCCCAAGUUUCAAUUGGACAGAAACUUGGAAUCAUGCAACUUGGUUGCACGAUGAAUGAGAAAUUUCAUAUUUGGAAAUUAGACUAAUUCAUUGACAAAGUGUCAAGUGAAGGACUAGGAGAUCGAGUACACAAAGUUGCGUGUUGAUCAAGUCCACCAUAAGAGUAACAAAGAUAUUCGUCAUGAUUUACUAAAGGUUUAGUAAAUAUGAUUAUACUUACAAGAUUAAGUGUAAUUCUGAAUUGAUUGAAAAAGUUUAAAUCAAUAGCAAAACGAAUAAGAAGAAUCAAGUAGGCAGAAAGAUAAAAGUUUCUCCAUUCUAAGAAGAAGGGAGAGUACCUUUUAUGCUUUAUGAUAGGUCUUAAUGAUUAAGAACCAUAUCUCAAUUGAUCCUCUAAGUGAGUCUUAGUACAAUUGUAUGUCUAAGAAGAGGAAUCAAGAAUUGAAGAAAUGGUUAAAUCAAGAAGUCAAUCAUACUUCGUUCCAAAACAAGUCUUAGAGUUAAGAUUGUGACAUUGAGUGAAAAGUAUUAAGAAGGUUUAUAACAUUCAUCAAAUGUGGAAAGUUGUGAUGUCUUGGAUAAGACAAAGACCAACUAGGACCAAUUUAUGAAGAGUUUUGAUAAAAGCUACACUAACUCUUGAAUAUUUGUUUGUCAAGAAAUGUUUUGACAAGAGAAUCUUAUAUGUCAAGGAGUCAGUGGGAGUCUUAAUGGUCUUGAAAGGUUUCAAGAACAAAUCAAAUAAACCUUAUCGAUCAUCACUAGCACACGAGUUGAGGUUUACAACCUAUCGUGUUGACAUUAUUUUGUUUCUGUGCCAAUCCAAUCGAGUUAAUUAUGCAUGUGAGUUCUAUGAGUUCUCAUUUGAAUGCAUAAAAGGCAAGGACCUUGAUCAAUGGAAAGUACAUUGAUAAGAAAAGGUGAGCUGCUUAACUACUUGGAAGACAUGGUGGGCAGCUGUGCUACCAUAAGGCAAGAAAUCGAGAUUAAGAAAGUUCGAUCCAUAUGAGUUUGAAUUUGUCGUAAACUUUGGUUUUAACAAAUUCACAUGGAUAGGAACACAUACACCGUUUAAAUCUAAGUGUCAUAAGAUUUCCUCCUUCAUGAAAAUGAUUGUGAGGAAAUGCUUUCACUAAGAAAGAUUUUAAGAAGAUAGUGAUUGUAAAAUUGCAUUCUCGAAUUCGAUUAUGGUUACGGUAUCCCUUUCCAUAAUUUGAAUUGUGAGGUUUGGCAAUUAGUCUUAAUUGUUUAGACACACAUAUGAACUAUCGAAGGCAAAGGUGUAUAAGUUCAAGAAGCAUUGAUAAAGGAUUAUCAAAGCACUAAGUAUUAGAAACAUGAACUUAAGAAAUUCAAUAAGUAUUGUUUUUCUGAAAGUUAAGAUGUUUAUGAAUACAUGUCGAAGCUAGUGGGAGCAUAAGUGUUAUGUUUUAUAAUAAUCAUCAUGAUAGUGGGAGCAUAAAUGUUAUGAUUGUAUGAUUAUUAAGGCACGUAUUGCAAGUUGGCAAUAUUAAUUAUAGAAAACAAGAGUUAUACCUUGCAAAGUCGUAAGGGUUGUAAAGUUGUUUUGCUAUAAUUAAGGGAGAGAAUAUUAUGCUUCAUUUCAAAUCUAAAGGCUUAGGUUGAGAAAUGUUAAUAAAUUUAGUCAAAGGUACAUAGUGUGUUCUUAAAAUUUCGAUUAUGAUUACGGCAUUCCUCUUCACAAUUCGAAUUUUGAGAACAUAGCAAAUAAAACAUUAUGCGUCGUGUCCCAUACGCUUCGGGUAUAGGAUCGAUUGCAAAUGCUUUAAUGUUUGACCAUUCUAAAAUUUUCCAAAUGUCGAGCGCAUUUAGAGGGAAAAGGGACUAGAAUUGGUUUUGACUAAAAUAAUUAAACAACUAUCAAAGGACAAUCCAAAGUUCGACGAGGAUUGGUCGCUUGUGAGUAGUUGGAAGCAUGGUAUUGGAUGGACCAUAUCGACAUUAUUAUGAAUAGAAAAGAUUCUAUUAAGAAUGAGUUGUCAUAUGGAAAUUAUGGAAAUGUUUCCAUAUUGGAUGGACCAUAUCGACAUCAUUACGAAUAGAUAAGAUUCUAUUAAGAAUGAGUUGUCAUAUGGAAAAUAUGGAAGCGUGUCCAUAUUGGGAAUUGAAUAUUGAAAAUCUAUGUCUAGAUUAGAAACUUUUAUGCAAAAGGAUGUUCAAAGGAAUGUACUUUGAGUGAGAGACAUCAUAUCUAAGGAAUUGUCUUGUAACAAUCUCCGAUAGAGGACUUUGUAAUAUCAUUGGCAAUAGUCUUUGUGACUUUGGUGCAGUGACAUUACGAAAGGAUCGUUGCAUAGAAUGUUAGAAUCUAGCAUAUUCUAUAAGUAGCAAGAAUUUGAUAUUCUUUCACUUAUGAAAAAGGAUUUGGAGUUGUGAAAUGAGAAUGAUUGGAAAUGUGUUCAAUUUGAUCUAUUUCACAAAGUAAGAACCAUAGGUAAACAUUGUGUGCAUGCUAGGAGCAUGGGACAAGUGUAAUAAUUCAAGUAAGAAGUUGAUUACCCGAAACGACAAAUAAUGAGUAAUCGAUAUGGUGAUAAAUAAAAGGUGUUUUAUUUAUACUCAAAGGUUUGAGGCCAUAUGGGAUUAGUAUUAUUCUUGUGUUUCACAUUUGCAUGUUUUGACUUCCAGAAUAAUUGAGUUUAUUAAGAAUAAUCGAAUUAUUCAAACGGGCCACAGUCGUUCAUAUGUUGGAAGUAGAUAUGAAUGAAGACUGUCGUGAAUUGGUGUGUGGAUUGUCUAAAAGAGUAUUAGACAUAAGCAAAUGUUUGCUGCAACGUUCAUGAGUGCUUAUGAAUAUGAUUUGAGCAUUGGAUUAAACCCACGCUCACUUGGAUCACUCCAUGAAUUGUAUCACGAGUGAUUGGUGAGACGAUAACAUCUUAUAUUCUUGAAACCGAGAUGUGUGAGUUGUAUCUUGCAAAUCGGUUGCACAUUGAUAAUAUGUAAACGCACUAGUAACUUGGUGUUAUAAAACAUAUUGUUGUGUGUGAUUCGGUGAGUGAGUGCAAGCAAGCAUUGUAUCAAAGUUUAUCCGUUCCUUUUAUCCAAAGUAGGAUAAAAGCGAUAUCUUUGGGCCCCUCGAUGAUUUAGUGAUGACAAACGUAAAUGCUCGGCCGGGCUAGGGCUAAUUUGAUUUGUUCAAUUAGUCAGUCGUCAUAAAUCGGGAAUCGAGAUAUAGUACAAAGAGAAUGAUUUGAAAUCAUAUCUCAUAUGAUAUCUAGAAUGGAGGAAUAUAUGAUCCCUUAUCUAAGGACACGCGUAUCUGAUAGGAUCAGAGUUGACAGCGGCUUUGGAAAGCUACGAUUGCAGAUCAGGAUCUGAAGUCAUACGCAUAAUAGUUAUUAGACUUAUCCAAGUGGGAGACUGUUGGAUUAGUGUCUAAGUCCAUAACUAUUUUGGUAUGUACUUGACCCGAUGGUGCAUGGUCCUUUUGGGUUGCCUUCACCAAAGCAACUUGAUAGGAUGAAUUAUGGAGAGAAAGGAUUAAAUAUGAUUUAUUAAUAUAUUAUGGGAAUAAUAUAUUAAAGGAGAAAUCAUAUUGUUUAAUUAAUAUUAGUCAAUAAUUAAUUGGUAAUUAGUUUUGUGACUAAAAGAGAUUAAUUAAACUUAAGGGACUGGAAUUGUAAUUAUAAGAUAAUUGCAAUUUGGGCCAUGGAUUGUCUUAAAUCAAAAGGUGGACGAAAUCUUAUGGGAAGCCCAUAAGGAAAUCGUCCAAGGGCUUGAUUAAAGGAGUCUAUGGGUUGCUUAGGGCUUAAGCAACCAAAUUAGGGUUUCCUUGUUAGAUAACCCUAAUAGCCUCACUAUAUAUAGAACCCUUAAGGCUCAAAAACGGGGGGAACUUCUUUUCUAGGGUUAGAAUACGUUUUGGGCAGCCUCUAACCUCUCUCCUCUUCAUCCUCUUGCUUAUGGUGUUUGUGAGCCAUUAGAGGAGUGACACUUCUGACUCUAAGCCUUCCAAAGUCAAUUCAAGGAGGAAUUGGGAUUGUUAUUGCUACAUAACAAUCAAGGUACUAUCUUAAACCUAAUUAUAUGUUAAUAUUGAUUUCCAUAUGCUAGAAUUAGGGUUUAUAGUCUUGGAUAACUUGUAUGUACAAUACAGAAACCUAGAUCCAAGCAUUAGGGUUUGUAUGAGCACAUAGGAUGUCUUAUGACCAAAACCCAUCACUAUCUUCGGUGGUGCUAGAAAAUAAUAAUUCUUCUUUGUAGUUUUUGGAUUAGGGUUUCGGAGUGGCUGUUGGUGAUAGAGACCGAGGAAGGCGGCGCUCUGAUGGUGACAGAGGCGGAGAUCGGAACCAAAUAGAGAAAGAAACACAAUACAGCCUGAGGAAUUGUUUGGUGGAGAUCCGAUUGCAGAAAACUGUAUUUGAUUGUGGUAUAGUGGGGGUAGAUUUACGCAGGAAUGUGUUUACAUAGAUACCAGAGAAGUAAUAUUUGGCGAGAUCUUAAGAGUCAAACGAAGUCUCAAUCAAGGGAUUAAGGAUCGGGUCAAAAUUCCUAAGUAAAAGAGAUCAGGAAUUUUUUUGUCUUCUUCUUGUAAGCAAUAACAAACCCGAAGUUUGUAAAACCUAAGUAAGCAAAAUAACAACUAAUGAAGUUCUUGAUGUGCCCAUAUCCAAUGUUGUAUGUUGUUUUGUCUUGAAUCCGAUCAUUAUCAAGAUCGCCCAUGAUCUUUUCCAACGUAAUAAGAUCAUUUCAGUUCAUCAUAGGAAAAUCGAAGAUGGUGAUUUCAAAAGGAGUGUUAUCCGAUCUGAUAACCUUGUAUCGAUAAUUUCGAAUUAUACCUUCAAAAAUCACAACUUUUGUUAUCGAAACAAGCGUAAUUAUCUUCUUCAAAGACCAGUGCUCCUCCUUUGUUUUUUCCAACGACAACAUGAAAUCUAAUCUUUAAGCUUUUAUACACUUUAUUAUCUUAGUAGUUGUCUGGUAGCUUGAACUAAGCAAAAGUAAACAUUGAAUGAUUAAAUGGAAAGUCAAGCCGAUUGAAAUAUGAGUUUUCAACCAAGUAGCUUUGCUUUGGUUAAUUUUCAAAAGCAUCAACUUCUCCAUAAGCAACAUUCUCAAUAGUUUCAUAACACCAAAAUUUAUUAAUAAAUCAUUUUUCAAGACCAGGUGGGUCACUUGCUCUCACUACAAAUAUAUGUCAUUUAGUGGCACACAAAAAGUGCCACUAAAAGCCCAAAAAAAUGUCACUAAAGCCUUCUCAAAGAAUCAGCGGCACAUUUAAUAAAUGUCACUAGAAACGCUUCCACUAAAACCUUUUAGUGACAUUUUUUGUUUUUGUUGCUGUAGUUUUUAGGUUUUCAAUGACAAUUUUUUAUUUGUCAUAUUAAAAGAAUUUUCUUUUGUGGCACAUAUUUUGUGCCACUGAAUCUGAUUUGAUUCAAUAAUUUAUGCUACUUUUAGUUACACAUUUUAAGAUUUUAGUGACACUUUUUUAUUUACCUCAAUAAAAAAUAGUGGCAUUUUUUUAUGUGUCAAAGUAGAAGAAAGAUUUUUAUGGCAUAUAUUUUGUGUCGUUAAAAGCUCAUGUGAUUUACAAAAUUUAUGCUACUUUUAGUUACAUAUUUUAAUAUUUUAGUGACAAUUUUAUUUGCCACAAUACAAUUUUAUCUAUAAUAUAAAAUAAAAUAAAUAAUUAAAUUGUAGCACAUUGAAAAUAAUCAAAUUUUCAUUAUUUUUCAUCGAUAUUUUUAAAAUUUUUUAAAUCGAAUAUCUAAGUAAUUAAAUAUCAAAUAUGUCUAAGUACAUGUUAAACAUAAAGUAACGAACAAAAGUUAAAACAUGCAUAUACAAAUAAAAUAAAAUAAAAACCAAAGACAUGUUAGGUUGAAUAAAUUGUGUUAUCUCAUACUCUAGAAUCAAUGCUAGCAAUUCCCUGUCAAAAAACAAACAAAGAUAAUCCAGAAUCCAGUGAAAUAAGGCUUAGUUUAGAAAAUAAAUAAUAUAACACUCAACACAAAUAAACUAUAUUUAUAAGAACAAAGGAAAGACAAAAGCUCAUAAAAAUGAUUACCAUCAUUAUGAUGACUUUCAGAAGAUGCUCUCUAGUUAACUGAAUUAGAGUUGUGUGGAAUUGUAGAAGUGUUGCCUAGCAUCUGAAAUAAAUUAAUGAAAACAUAUAUCAUUAGUCUCCAUCUCUCUAUACCUUUACUAGUCUUGUACAAAUGAACAAAAAGAGUGUGUUUAAGAAGAUGCAUAUGUGCACCAAAAAGAUUAUUCAGAAGGACAAAAGUGGUCAUUCUUGAGUCCAAUUGGAAAUAUGAUAAUGGACUAAUUUUAAUGAAUAUUUUUUGUUCAUAAGGUAAUUGAAAAGGAACAAUGCAAUUAUAGAUGACAUAUGUACCUAUAUGUUCAUAUUGCUAAGAAUUCCAGACAAGUUUGCAUUUGGAAUAUGUUCUCGGAUGAUAUUCACCAUAACGUUCACCAUAGUUUUUAGUUGUUCCCGGAUCAUUAAAACAAGAAACAACCUUCUCUUUUAUGGUAGGCAUCCUUCCAAUACAUCUGAUAUACCCUCUUUUUUCAAGACAUUUAACUUUAGAAUAGUCAUCAUUUGAAAAAUCAUCUACCGAUCCUAGGGUACUUGAUCAUUAGGUAUUUGAGGAGUCGCUUACAAUGGCUUGUAGGGAAUUCUGCAUAAUAGCAACAUACCAAAAACAUGACAAGUGUUUCUUACCCACUGUUUUUGUCCCACUUUCAAAUUAAUAGCAACAUACUUUGAAAGUGGUUGCUAUACUAUCAUAGUAUAGCAACCUACUUUAAAAGUAUGUUUCUAAUACUUUGAAAGUGGGAAAAAUAACAAGUUUUAAAACGAAACAAAGAGUAUAUGACCUGAUAUGAUUAAAAACAUGUAUAUAUAAUGUCUAGGGAAAUUAUUACCAUAACUUGAGCGACUUUUUCAUUCACGAUAUUUCCAUUUUUACGAGUGUGGGUUUUUACAUAUAUUUGUCCUCGUGUUGGGUAUACACCAUUAUUCAAUGCCUAUAACAAGAUGUAGUUAUGUUUGAUGAAAAAUAAAUAAAAGAAUACAAAUAUAAGACGAUGAUAUAAGUCAAAAUAAUAAAAUAUAAUACCUCUUCGUGAGCAAGUCGAGCAAAUGAUUUUGUCCCAGAAACAUGGGGCUCUUCCAUCUUUGCAUGACUCGUUAUCCUCAAAUCACACAUGCUCUACAUAAUUAUUUUGUAUAUAAUCAAUAUGAUGGAAUCAAAUAGUUGAUAUCCAUAAUUAAUCCAUAAUAGCAACAAAUUUCAUUUAUUUACAUAUAAUAGCAAUUUACAUGCAUUUCUUUAUUGAUAAUACAAUAUGUAACAAUCGAAAGCAGUCAAAAUAGUAUGGUUUGGUAGUGAAGAAUUUCUUUAACUAAAAGGUAAAAGUAUGGAUUCAAUGAAUAAAAAACAUGCUAGGCCAUUAAGGGUAACCGACCUUUUUUAUCAUUUUGCAUAAAUUUAAUUUAUCUUUUACCCACAAUAGGAAUGUACUUUCUAUUUUUUAGUGAAAAUUUGUUUAACUAAAAGGUAAAAGUAGGGAUUCAAUGAAUAAAAAACAUGCUAAACCAUUAAGGGUAACCAACUUUUUUUUUUUUAUCAUUUUCCAUAAAUUCACUUUAUCUUUUACCCACAAUAGCAAUGUACUUUCUAUUUUUAGUAAAAUUUGGUUUAACUAAAAGGUAAAAGUAGGGAUUUAAUGAAUAAAAAACAUGCUAGGCCAUUAAGGGUAUGCAACUUUUUUAUCAUUUUCCAUAAAUUUAUUUUAUCUUUUACCCACAAUAGCAAUGUACUUUCUAUUUUUUAGUGUAAAAUUGUUUUAACUAAAAGGUAAAAGUGGGGAUUCAAUGAACAAAAACCAUGCUAGGUCAUUAAGGGUAACCAAUGAGUAAUAGGAUAAAUUCCUUAGUUUAUGUAACAAACUAAAUAUAUUACCUGAUAUUCUGGAGUAAACCAAUGAGUAACAUCUUUCUCGGUUUGUUGUGCCAUAAUUUGAUCGAUUGUAAGACUUGAAUCAUAUGCACAUAUUUUUAGUGAACCUUUCCAAGUCCUCCAUUUUUUCCCCAUGCUAAAAAGGAUCCAUUUCUUGAUUUCACUUGUUUUAGUCGGAUGAAUAACAAACUUGGCCUACAAAUAAAGCUUGCAUGUAAAUAUAAAUACACUAUAAUUUUGGUUAAUAGAUACACACCUUAACCAUAGAAUACAUAUCUUCUUUCUUCUGUAUAGGGAUCUUCCUCCAAUUUUACUUGUUGAAACUAUGUGGGUUUUUUUGGUUUCAUGCAAAAAACAUUGCUAACAUAAAUCCAUAAACACCUGUAACCACCCGUCGGAUUGCUUCCACCAAAAUAAUAGACAAAAAUUGCAAUUGAAAUUUGAACCGAAAAUUAAUAAUUUCGAAGUUGCAGCAAACAAAUCUAAAAUCUCAAAAAAUUUGAAAUUUUGGCAUACGGUUGUGAGAAUGAAGAUGAACAAGGAGUACCCAUAGAUGCAGAGUAGUUGAACAAGGCCCAAAGGUACAAAGAAGUACUUGAGAAUUAUAUACAAAGUGAUGGGUACAACAACAUCAUAGCCAUACAAAACGUUAGCUGACCACAUCAACAAAUGAACAUAGUCCCAUUCUAAAUGAUGUAGCUUUCGUGCAAGAUAAGUGACACAUGUACCAAUUCAAGCUUACGAAAAGAUCAAUGUUGUGCACAUUCAAAAGGGUCCAUACCUACAACAAAACUAGUUUAAAAAUGUUCAUUUACAUAAUACAUUAUAAAUAACAUAUUUUUAGAAAUGAGACUCAACUCAACUCAACCUACAAGUAUAGGGUAGUAGCAGUUUUCUGACUGAAGGUUCCUUUGAAGGGAAAAAGUGAAUCUUUAAUCCCUCCAAAAUAUCGGAUGUGUCAACAUCAAAGUAAGGUUGGUAAGUAACUAUUGUGAAUAUCUUAAGCCAAACUGGGGUUGCUUGUUGUUGUUGGUCUGAUGAACCAAAAAAUGGCUUUGAGAACGGAACUGCACAUAUAGAUCAAUUCUCACAUCUUCUCACAAAAUAAUUAAUAAAGUACAAUUACUGCACAAAUCACAUAUCUCCAAUUAUUAGCCUAAAAAUAGGAUUAUUUCAUAAAAGUAUACAGUAACAUAUUGAAAAGUUAUAAAAUGAAGAAGUAAAUUACAUUUGAAAAUAACACUUAUUGAGAUUUAAAAUCAAAAGCAGAGUAUGCAUUGUUUAAAACUUAAAGUUUCAUCUUCUGAUUUGAAAGAUUAAUGGUGAUUAGAGUAUGAUGAUGA